GUGGUGUGGGCCCACAAAAAUGAUUGAAGACAAAGACAACAAACGAAACAAAAUUUAAAAGUUACAUCCUUAAAUUAUUAAAAUACAGCUGUAAGAAGCCCAACUUUUGAAAGCUCAAAACUGAAUUACUUAAAAGUCCAUCCUCAAUAUUUGUAACCAUGUUCCACGGUCAAAAGAAUCCCUUUAGGUUCAAAGAGAAAUUGUUAACAGAAGUUAGAACUAUAGAAUAAUAGUACUGCAUUAACUAAAACAUCAGAAUGUCUAUCAAAGAAACCCACAUCUUCAAAAUUUCUAGGAUAGAUAUGGAAUGAAGAUCUCAAAUAGAUGGAGAUGUGGUACCAACACAAUCCCUCGUUUCAAGUUAUAGCAUUCUGUUUCAUGUUUUGAGGUUCCCAUGGAUCUGUGUCAUGUUUUGGGACUUGUCAAUGUGGUUUGGGAUAGGAUCCGAGGUGCUCGGAUGAGUUUGGCAUCUAGUAGAAGCCCAAAAUAGUCCCAUGUGUUGGAUUUUUGAACCCAAAUCAUCCUAUUCUAUUAUAUGAAGCACUAAUAAUACUUGUAGUCUACAAUAUUAGUGCAGAUUUAAUCCUAAAUCUAUUGGCACAUUAAUUUUAACGGGACCUUUCAGACUGCUCACAUGCAUUAGUCCCAUUCAGAGAACAUCACUCACUGCUAUACUGCAACCUUCUCUGUCUGGGAGAUUCCUAUAUUUGUGAAAUCAAUGAGGGAUAGCAUAGCAGACAAUAAUAUAUAUUCCUAACAGCAUUCAAGGUCUAGUUCACCACUAAGCAAUACAGUAUUAACACAAUAGAACUCAUCAUCUUCAGUUUUCACCAGUGUUCAAAGAUGCGACCGCAUCAGUCCCACUGAAUCGCAUCUUUGCUGCGGUGCAACCUGAGAAUUGCGGGUGCAUCAAGCCAUGUUGCAUGAUGCGAUGCGAUCGCAUCAAGCCUUUCUACUUCUUUAGAGGUAGAGGUAUGGACUGCGUACAUUUUACCCUCCCCAGACCUCACUAUGUGGGAAUACACUGGGUUUGUUGUUGUUGUUGUUGUUUAAAUUAAAAAAAAAAUUGGAAGUGGAUUUUUUUUAUGGGCAAUUUUUAAAUUAAAAAAAAAAAAAGGGUCAGAAGUUUAAGAAAAGACCGAUUAAAAAUUUUAGGGUUUUUUUUUACCUACGUUCUCUCUUCUCCACUGUGUUCUCUCUUCUCCACUUCUCCACUGAAGCUGCGCUGCAACAGCUCUUUCUCCAUUGAAGCUGCGACCAAGUACCAAUUGGUGAGGUUCUUCUUCGUCUUUCUUCUUUCUUCAUCCUUCUUUUUUUUUUCCUUCUUCUCGUUCUUCCUUUUUCUUCUUUUGCUAUGUUUUUCUCAUACACUAAUACCUUCUUUUUUUUGAAUUUUCAACCGAUGCUCUAUUUUUUUCCUCCACUAAAAUUGUAUUUUUUUCAACAGAGCAGCUGCUUCUUCUUCUUCUUCUUCUUAUACUCUGUUUUUUAUCUACAGUGAUAGUCUUUCAUCCGAUGCUCUGUUUUUGUUCUCCAAGCUGCUUUUUUUUUUUUCCUAACCAAUGCUCUGCCUUAUGUUUUUCCUUUUAAUUGUGAUUUUUAUAUGAUUUAUUUUUUAUGUUUUCCUUACAGCAAUUUAAAAAUGUCUGAUCUGGCUUGGAAAUAUGGUAAAAGGGCAAGCGAGACCAAUAGGAACAGUCACAUGUAUUUUUUGUGGCUUGAAGUUUAAUGGCGGAAUUUCUCGCCAUAAACAACAUCUUAUUGGAAAUAGUAGUGAUGUGCAACAAUGCAAGAAGUGUCCAGAUGCGGUGAAACAAGAAAUAAAAAACUAUGUCGAGCGAAAAAAGGACCUGAAACGUCAAAUGUUAGCUCCUCCAUAAGUUACUGAUCUUGAUAAUGAUGAAAUGGAGGAAGGAGAAGCUGCCAAUUUGUCACUUCCUUCAAAAUCACAAAAACACUCACAAAAUGCAUCAGUUUCUUCACGUUAUGGAUCAACGGGUACAAAAGGUCCAAUAGAUACUUACUUUCCGUUGAAGCCAGGAAAUGAUUCGGGAAAAAGUGGUAAAAAUUUGCAGGUUGUGGCCAAGGGAAUUUUGAGGGAUCGUGUUGUUGCGGCCUUUUCAAGGUAGUUGUAUGAUGCAGGGCUUCCCUUUAAUUGUGUCAACUAUGAAACUUUUGCAGACAUGAUCGAGGCCAAGGCCAAUAUGGUCCGAGGAUGAAGCCACCCACUUAUCACGAUGUUAGUGUUAUUUAUUUAAAUAAAGAAGUGGAAGAAACACAAAAAAUUGUGGAGGAGCAUCGGGCGGAAUGGAACAAGUUCGGAUGUUCCAUUAUGAUGGAUAAGUGGAAAGCAAGAACCGAAAAAAUGAUCAUAAAUGUGUUGGUCAAUUCUCCGGGAGGAAGCUUCUUUCUUGAGUCAAUUGAGUCAAUUGAUGUCAGCGACUCAUCCACUGAUUCCAUCAAAAUGUUCUCUUUGUUUAAGAGUACCAUAGAGAAGAUUAGACCAGAGAACGUUGUUCAAGUUGUUACAGAAAAUGCAUCUGAAAAUGUUAAGGCAGGUUCUAUGAUAAUGGAAGGUUUCCUUCUCAUAUAUUGGACUUCAUGUGCAGCCCAUUGUGUGAAUUUGAUUCGAGGAUAUUUUCAAACAAAGGCCUUUUCAAGGUGUUUUCACCAAGGCAGUUAAGGUAUAUUCUUACAUUGUUCAAAGGCCUUUGUUGUUGAAUUUGAUGAGAAGAUUUACUAAUCAAAGAAACUUGGUGAAACCUGGCAAAACUAGAUUUGUUACUGCUUUCUUGACCUUACGCAGAUUGUUCAAGCAAAAGUCAAAUUUGAGAAGCAUGUUCAUUUCAGAAGAAUGCAUUAAAAGUAAGUUUGCAAAAGAAGUGUUGGGAAAAAAAGCUGCACGGAUAAUGCUUUCAUUUCACUUUUGGAAUAAUGUUGUUUAUGCUCUUAAAAUAUGUGGCCCUUUGGUUACAGUUCUUUGUUUGGUAAACGGUGAGGCAAGACCAUCAAUGGGUUACAUUUAUGAAGCAAUGAGUAAGGCUAAAGAGGCUAUUAAAAGCUUUUUCACUGAGGAGCAUAAAUAUGCAAAGAUUGUUGAUAAAAGGUGGAGUGAUCACCGUUGCAUGCAGCUGGCAAUAUCUUGAAUGCAUCACUUUAUAAUCGUGAGGAUGAUUUACUAAAUAAGAAUUUGAUGACGGGAUUUCAUACUUGCAUUGUAAAGAUGGUUGUUGAUGAAGAUAUGCAAGAUAAAAUAACCGAACAAAUUAGUUCUUAUCAAAAUGCUGAGGGACUUUUUGGUAUAGCAACCGUCAUAAGACAAAGAGACAAGAAGUCACCAGGUGAAUGACUCUUAUGUAGUUAUGUUUCCAUUAAAUUAACACUUUUAAGUUCUUUCUUUAUGGUUGCUAAUUUUGAAUUACUUUACUUUAAUAGUUGAAUGGUGGAGGCUUUAUGGUUCAGAAACUCCGGAGUUGCAAAAGUUCGUCAUCAAAAUUUUGGGUCUAACUUGUAACGCAUUUGGGUGUGAAAGAAAUUGGAGCGUGUUCGAACACGUAAGAGUUAAAGAAAAACUUUAAUAUAUUGAGAUAAGUAUAUUAUAUAUCAAAUGUCUUAACUUUUGACUUGCCAAUAUUUAUUUGUAGAUCCAUACCAAAAAAAGGAAUAGACAAACUCUAAAGCGCCUCAGUGACUUGAUGUUCAUAAAGUACAAUAGAACUUUGAGGUGUCGUUACAACGUUCGCAAUGGAUUUGAUCCAAUUAGCUUGGACAACAUCGAUGAUGCCAAUGAAUAGCUAACUGGAAUUGAGAAUGUUGAAGAUGAAUCAGUUUUUUAUGGAGAUACUAAUUUCACUUGGGGUGUUGUUGCUGAGGCAAAUGGAGUUCAUGAGCGUCGCUAUGGUUUAAGGUAGUACUUCCAACUCAUACGAUAAGGGAAAAGAAGUUGCUACUUCAACAGGAGAUGAGGAAGUUGAAGAUGAUGAGCAUGAUGUUAAUACUCAAGGAAUAGAAGAAUUGGACAAUCUUAAUGAACUAGAAGAGUUUUAGAUUGAACCAUUAUUAAUUUAGAUUUGAUUUUUCUUUUUUGGGUUUUUUUUGCUUCGUUGAACUGAUUUGUUGGUGUUUCAUUUGAACUUUUGCUUAAAUAUAUUGUCUUUAUUGUUGAUUAUAUAGUUGUUGUGGUCUUUUCAGUUAUAACUUACUAUUUGAAUGCUCUAUAGAUAUUUUUUUUAUUAAAUUGCGCUUCACUUCAAUGAUGCGGUCGCAUCGCAUAAUGCGUGAUGCAGAGCCUUGUUGCUUUUUUCUGCAUCACGCUUCCCUGAACACUGGUUUUCAAGCUGCGGGAUCAAAGGCCACAACCGAGCAAUAUGAAGAGUGAACUUCAGCCAAGAACUACAAUACUGACAUCAGUGACAACCCAUAUUCAAGAUCACAAAGUAUGAAGGAAUCAUGAAGCAUAACAAUCUUAAACACUGCUUGCUUUCUUUCUUUUGUUUUUUUGGUAAAAUCAGACAGAGAUUUCNNNNNNNNNNNNNNNNNNNNNNNNNNNNNNNNNNGGGGGCGGGGGGAUAUACUUGAAAAGUUUUUUAUCUUGUCUUCAUAGCUAAGCGAUUAGUGAUCAUCUGUGGAAAGUCUAAGUCGUUUGUAAUAUAAUUACACAAAAUGUUUGCCAAGAAAUGGACAGCAAACAUAUUGGUUUUUAUUUUCUUUCACAUAGUAACUAUUUGUCAAUGUCCACCUUCUUGUAGUUGGGACAAAGACCCAAGUGCGGCCAACUGCACUGCACUUGGGGGAUUUUUUAUCUGUAGCUUGGACAAUUGCAGGCCUCGAGAGCGGCCAGCACUAGGCAAGUACAAACAGCACUGCAGAAUUUCAUAUUUUUGUACAAAUAGUCGGGUUUCGUGAUUUUAUUUCACUCUUCAUCAUUUUGAGAUUGUACAAAUAGUCAUGACUAAGUUAUGCAUUCUCACAUGCUAUGAAAGUUUGCGAACAAUUGUGUUUCCACUGUAAAGUCCUUUUAUGAGAAGCUUCUAGUGAGGGUGGAGGCGGCUUUUCCUGUAAAGUCGAUUUGGAUUCCUAAGAUGCCAAGGAAGGUGUGUGUUUUUUCACAUGGUUAGCUACUAGCGGGGUCAUCUUGACGGCAGAAUACCUUAGGAAAAGAAAGGCUCACCUGAUGGGUUGGUUAGAUGCCAUCAUGGCUUAGAAAAAUUGGGUCAUGGCAAAUGCCUAUCAUAAAGCUUGGAUACAUAAAGUUUAACAUCCAUAAAGAUAUACUACCUCAACAGGAGUUGCCAAGAUCAGAAGAUACUGAAUGGCCUCCACGAAAAUUCCAGGUUUGACUUUGGCUAGGCCAACAACGCAUAUAGCUUGUUCAUCUCCGCUAUAUUCAGGACAGUGGCCAUCCCUAAGCAAAACAUGAUACCAUCAGCAGAAUAAGAAUCCACAAAAUAUAUAUAUAUAAUGAGAUAACAAGCCAAAAGAAACUAAAGCUUUAGUUUUAGUUUACCACCUUUUUUGCUAGGCAAAGUAACGAUUGUAUUGGUAGAAAGGGCAUCAUAAAGGGAAUGUUGUUAGGAAGUACAUCCCAGAAGAGGACAUUACUAACUAGAUAACAAUAACAAUAAAACAAGAUCCCGCACAUCAUUGCCCAUAUGAACAACAGACUUCAAUAUUUUGAACUUUAUUACCACAAAAUAAUCCCAUUCUGAAAUUCUCAAUACAUAGCUCGUUACAUGCAUAAUGAAAGAACAACUCUAAAAGAUCUCAUUUGAUACAAACAGGACCUUGACUGUGGAUGACUUAAAGGCUCAUGCUUUUCGAACUUGUUAGAUAGUUUGGGGCUUGGAGGCUAACGCAGAAAAGUAUUUGAUACCACAAGGACUAUACUAUAUUCAGGUAAAAUUAGAUCUAUCAAUGCUCAAAGAUAGACUCCAAACAAUUAAACUUGAAAGACAGUGUGAAAACUCAAACAAUGAAACUUAAAAUUGUUCUAUGUAAACAGUCACCAACUAAGAUAUACGGAUUUAACACCUCGGGAAAUGCAAAUAUGUUUUGUUCUCGGCAUAGUUUGGUAGAUGGUUAUAGCUGAAUUAUUCAGAAGUUUUGUGCACACCUGGUGUGAUACUAACUAAUAAUAGUUAAGCCACGCCUAUAGCUGAUGGGAUAUAGAAAAUCCCGAGCUGGUGUGAUGUUAAUUAAAUACUAGUGACUUGACGAAUUUUGUUUAUUCUCACCACUUAUCAAACCGCCAAAGAAACAAUGUGUUGUCCACCGAUGCCCAAGCUCUACGUAUUUCAGGAAAUAUUCCACAUAAUGCAGUUCCUUCUCCGCUGGAUGCAUUAUAUCUCUCAAUCAAUACAGAUGGCAACUCCCAAGAAUCCACGACUUCCACUAAAGGAGGCCACUACAACAGUGACAUGAAUGAACAGAUUUAGUGCCUUCCCAAAGCAAGAAAGAAUAAAAGAUGUUUGAUGUAGAUAAAAAUUGCAAGAUGAAAUCAUAACAGGACUGCAAAUGUUAAUGUCAAAUAAUACAAUUUAAAGCUGUUAAAUAGAGAAAUAGUAACAUAGGAAACACGAUCAGUAUUAUUGCUAAGUGUGAGUAUGAUGGUAAAUAAUUGAAGCCCCGCAAAUCUUACACAUGCUACAAUCACUUCUUCGGUCAGUUGUCUGAGAUUAGAUUAAAGCCAUUGUUACAGAAUAUGACAUUUGGAACAUGCAUUAUUGGAACUACCAAUUAUGAAAUUACUCCAUUAACACAAAAAAAUAAUAAAUAAAGCCUUGAGAAUAUAUCCUCCCAUAUAUGUUUUUCUUUUAUUUUCUUCUUUAAUACGCCUCCGUAAAAUAAUAUGUUUUAAGGAUAAUCUACUUUUUCUACUUCAAACAGAUCAAGACAUCAAUGGACAUUGCUAAGAGAACAAGGAAUUUAUAUUUUUAAAUUUGCAAAUUGCAGGUAACAUCAAUUGUGACUUUGGAUUUUCCUUUAUGUCUGCAGUGCUUCUUGCUUCCUCUUCCAUUUCAGCGUGUAGUAAUAUUCCUUCAGUUUGACACUCUCCUUUUUAUCUUUUUCAUUUGUACUUUAUAAUAUUACAUUUUUUUAUUCCUUUGAAUUGUAUACUUUGUAUCCCUUUCCCGAUGAGCAUCUAACUUUCAUUGUUACAGUUGUUACAAAAGGAUAAGUCACGAAAUAGAAACUCAUUAGAGAGAGGAAAACAAGAAAAAGCAAUGUUAAUAAAGAAGAGAAGGAAAUAUAGUGUAGCUAUGCAGGUUACGCCUGCUUUGUCUGGGGUGGCUUGCCCACGCCAUUCUCAUCCCUAAUUCUAUGACGAACCAUACUUCAUAAACUGACAAAUAAUAUCAUAAGGAUAGACCCUUGAGAAACUAAUUUAGAAUUUGAGAAUAGACAUUAUAAGCGUUUUUAUAUCUAUGGCAUUUGGAUGGGAAAAAUGGUUGCAAAUUCUUUUUUCCAACUUUGUCUGUUUUGGUUGUUUUUUUGAAAAGAACGGAACUCUUUGUCCGAGCUCUUUAAUAAAAUUCAACUUCUUCUAAAAAUUGAAAAACUACAAUAACAAGAAAAGGCUUCGCUAAUAAACUAAGUCCACAAAACUUGAAAAAACUCUUUUGCAAAAAAAUGUUUCACCACCUCUCCAACCAAACCCAAAGAAACUCUUACUCCCUAUAUUUUAAAUUUAGCUUUCCACAAAAAAUGUAGAAUCUUCGAAGUCUGAAGAUAAUGGUGACAACUGCCAACAUAAGCAAAAAAACAUUUAAAAAUCAAACCAAUAAUCUCAAUAAUUCACAUGCUUAUAAUGAAUUUCAUUGGUGGUUACCUCACGGGGUUGAGCAGUAUAGGGAUGACUGGCAUAUCUAGAAGCUUCCAAGGCGUCUUCAAGAUCGAUUCGCAAAGAAACAUCACGGCCAAUGCGGUCACUAACUACAAUUCCCGCAUUAAUAACGUCACGCAUCACAAUCUCAUUGUCCCCAGACAUAUUCGGAAUACCUCAAGAGCUCAAAAAAUUCAAGAUUCCCUAGGGCUUGAAGAAACAUCACGGCCAAUGCGGUCACUAACUACAAUUCCCGCAUGAAUAACGUCACGCAUCACAAUCUCAUUGUCCCCAGACAUAUUCUGAAUACCUCAAGAGCUCAAAAAAUUCAAGAUUCCCUAGGGCUUGAACUCAGCUUAGCUGUAGUACUAAUCCAAGCCCUAGAUGGAACUAUUGUAAAUCCUACAACCUUCUUAAUGCAGUGAGCAACUGGAAAUUUGCACUGGAGAGUAUGAAGGCUAUCAACCUUUGCAUCUGCUAAUAGCUUAAUUUGUUACUACUAGUCUUCGUCAACUAGUUUAUAUUCCUGUCUGCAUAGAACAUCGAAACUUCAUUUUUUUUCUUCAAGUACAAUAAAUGUCCAAACACAAAUUCAAACAACUAUUUUUCAACAACAUACCAAGAGUAGUCCCACAAAGUGGGGUCUUGAGAGGGUAGAGCAUAUACAAACCUUACAUCUACCUCAGGGGUGAGGUAGCGAGGCUGUUUCACGUAGACCCCCGGCUCUAGAAAAAGGCGUAAUGGAAAUACAAGAGACAAUAGAUUGUAGUAAAAACAAUAGAUAGUAGCAGAACAGUACUACAACGAAGUACGAACAAUAGAAUGUAGCAGAAAUCCGAUAAGAAGAAACUAUAAGAGUAUCCCAACGACUACUAGUAAAGGCAACAAGAUAAUGCACCCCUACCUACUACAACAAAUAUUUUUCAACAAACUUCAAAAACCCUUCUGUUUCUUUUUCAAGUUUCGACUAAAUCUAUGGCCGAAUCCCUAACUUAAUUUCAAUUCACAAAAGAAAACAAUGCAGGCAAUUAGCAUAGUAGUAUCAGCCUUGUGUCUCUUUAACGAUUUUCUAUUCUAUCAAAUAGUAACAAAAGGGUAGAAAAAGAAGGAAACUAAGAACUUAAUAUGUUACUACUAGUCGUCUUCAACUAGUUUCUAUUCUUGUCUGCAUAGACUAACAAAAUUUCAAUUUUUUUCCAAGUACAAUAUAUGUCCAAACACAAAUUCAAAUUACAAAAACUAUUUUUCAACAAACUUCAAAACUCCUUUUUUUUUCAUGUUCAAACCUAAAUCUGUGGAGAAAUCGCUAACUUAAUUUCAAUUAACAAAGAAAAAAAUGCAGACAAUUAGGAAGAUUUGUAGAAAAUCUAUUGGCAUAGCAGCAUGAAUCCUAAUAUAUUAAUAUCUUACUGCUAGCCUUCUUCAACUUAAUAUAUUACUACUGGUCUUAUUCAGCUAGUUUCUAUUUUUUCUGCAUAGAGUACCAAAUAGUCUGGAAAGAAAAUAGAAAAAGAAGGAAAGAACUUUUGGAGGAACCAGUUUUUGAAAAUCUAUCUUCAAAGACUAAUCCAGACUUGUUUUAGGAUUUUAGGGUGAAAUUUCACUUCCGCUCACAAAGCUUCAAUUUUUUCUCCGAGUACAAUACAUGUCCAAACAAAAAUUCAAAUCCCAACAAACUUCCAGAUCUCUUCUUUUUUUUUCAAAGCUUCAACUAAAUCUAUGGCCAAACGCAACGCCGCAACCUUAAUUUCAUUGCACCAAAGAAGGAAGACGAUGACCAGGAAUAAUAGAAAUAAUUGGAAAGAGGGAGACAAAGAAAAAGACGCAAUAGGAGAUGGGAACAUUCAGACGGAGAGAUAAUUUCAUUGGCCAAGUAAAAAAGUUAAAUUUAAAAUAAAAUUUAUCUUUAUAAUAGGUAGACCUCAAAAAUUCAACCAAGAUAUUUUAUCAUUAUCAAUUAAACUAUUCAAUAUCCAACUAAAAUAAAAAAUAAUAAAAGAUCAACAAAACACAACUCAAGAAUGACAAAACAGAAUGAUAAUGUAAAAAUUAUAACAAAUACGUAGGAAAAUGACAGUACAAAAACGAAAAAUAAAAAUUAAAUCAAAUACCUUUAAAAAUCAUGAAAGAAGUUGCAACAACACUAAGAGAAAAUAACAUUCUAAUAUUAACAUUAAACUUCGAACAAAGAAUCUCAAAUUAAAAGGCAUUAACAUUGUCAUAAGACAUAAUUGAUCAAUUCAAGAGCAAUUUGAAUAUAUGUAGACCCACAUGUAAUAAUACGAAAAAUAAAAGUUGUGGAGGUCAAAUCUCGAUGGGAUCUGAAUUUUACCGGAGUUAUGACUUGAGAUUACCGAAUUCUGUGCUUCUCUGGUGUUGUUGUUGUUUUCCGUGGAGGUUGUUUGGGGAUGGAGAAACGGAGAGAAAGGAGGGAUGGGGGCGGCAGCGGGCUGACGGACUUGAAACAGCGUGCGGCGGCGUUCCGGUUGCUGGUUCGCCGGUAUCACUGGUUCGUUGUUGUCUGGAGCUUGUCGGUCAUCAACUCCGUCGAGCCAAUGGUGGAGCAGCGGGUAGAGGAGAAAGGACGAGCGGCGGUGGCCUUUUGGUGGUUUUCCGACGGUAAUGAAGGGAUGUAGGGAAGAAAGAGAGAGAGGACGAAGGGGUGCGGUGGUGGUGCUAUUGGGCAAAAUCCACCGGAGCUCCGGUGGUGGUGGGGCGGAAAUGAAGGGAAAAGGGGGAGUGAGGAUUUGGUCUGUGUGUUGGUGUGUUAGGGUGCAUUUGUUUUUUUAAAUUAAGAAGUCAAUUGACGAUGAAGAUAUUGUAUCUACAUCUCAAUAAUAAAUGAUUAAAAUUGUUUAUUUUUUUAAUAUUUAAAUAUAUGUAAUUUAUUUAUAAUAAAUAUGUAAUUUAAAAUUAAAAAGUAAUAAAAUAUUAUAUUAUCUAAAAAAUAUUAUAUCAUACAAUCACUUUCAGUUUCAUUUCGAAAUUAUCAAUUUAAUCAAUGUUUUUUGACGGAGUAGUAUGAAACUCUAUAAGUAGGAUACUUUCGAUAGACCCUCGGUUUAGAAUAUUGAGAAGCUAAAAUAAUGUAAUGAUCCUUAUAGUCAUUUUCCUGUAUUUUUAUAUAAUUUUAGUAUUAUCUAAACGUUUCGUGGUUUAUUUAAUUUAAUUUGGCAUUUUGUAGAAAUAUAAUUUAGUACCCUUCUAGAAUAUUUUCGAUAUUGGUAAAAGCGUGACCGUGUUAUUGCGAUGCAUCUGGUGUUGGUUUGGGGUCCGCUGUGAGAUUUACUGAUCACCGCAGUCUUCAGUAUAUUAUGACCCAAAAGGAGCUUAAUUCAAGACAGCGCAGGUGGAUUGAGUUGCUGAAAGACUAUGAUAUCUCUAUUCUCUACCAUCCGGGCAAGGCGAAUGUAGUAGCGGAUGCCUUGAAUCGGAAGUCGGGUAGCUUAGCUUUCAUUUCAGCUUCUCAGCGGCCGUUGGCUUUGGACAUUCAGUCUCUAGCUAACAUGAUGGUUCGUUUGGAUAUUUCUGACCCUCGAAGAAUCAUUGCUAGUGUUGAGGCCAGAUCCACCUUGUUGGAGCAGAUUCGGAGUCGUCAGUUUGAGGAUGAUAGACUUCGCAGCCUUCGAGAGCGGGUGUUGAGGGGUGAGUUUCAGCGGGCUACCCUAGAUUCUGAGGGUGUAUUGAGGUUUGACGGUCGUAUUUGCGUUCCAAGGGUUGGAGAUUUAAUCUAGUUGAUUCUUCAUGAGGCUCAUAGCUCCAGAUACUACAUUCACCCCGGGACAACUAAGAUGUACAGAGAUUUGAGGCAGCAUUACUAGUGGAAUGGUAUGCGGAGAGAUAUAACAGGGUUUAUGGCUCGAUGUCUUUGUUGUCAGCAAGUAAAGGCCGAGCAUCAGAGGCCUGGUGCACUGUUGCAGCAGCUAUCCAUUCCCGAGUGGAAAUGGGAGUAAAUUACUAUGGAUUUUGUAGAUGGAUUGCCUCAUACAUAGCGUGGUUUUGAUAGCAUUUGGGUCAUCGUGGAUCGAUUGACCAAGUCUGCACAUUUUAUCCCCGUUCGAGUUUCCUACAGUGCCGAGAGGUUAGCUCGUGUUUACACUCAGGAGGUGGUUCACCUACAUGGGGUCUCUGUGUCCAUUAUUUCUGGCCGAGGCUCUCAGUUCACUUCUAGCUUUUGGAGGGCAUUUCAAGAGAAGUUGGGGACCCAGGUUGACCUUAGCACAACUUUUCAUCCCCAGACUGAUGGGAAAUCAGAGCGAACUAUCCAGGUUUUAGAGGAUAUGCUCUGCGCUUGUGUGUUAGAUUUUGGAGGUCAGUGGGACCAGUUUUUACCUUUUGCAGAGUUUGCUUAUAAUAACAGCUUUCACUCGAGUAUUCAGAUGGCCCCAUUUGAGGCAUUGUAUGGUAGGAGAUGCCGAUCUCCUGUUGGUUGGUUUGAGACUUCUAAGGCUAAACCUCGUGGCACAGAUUUGCUUCGUGAUUUGUUGGAUCAGGUUCGAGUGAUUCAGGAUAGGCUACGAGCAUCUCAGAGCAGACAGAUGAGUUAUACUGAUCGCAGACGUCGUCCAUUGAGUUUCAGAGUUGGUGAUAGGGUCUUCCUGUAAGUAUCACCUAUGAAGGGCAUGAUAAGGUUCGGGAGGAGAGGCAAGCUUAGCCCUAGAUAUAUUGGACCUUUUGAGAUCUUAUAGAGAGUUGGGGAGAUAGCUAAUGUGUUGGCAUUGCCACCUGCCUUCUCAGCCAUUCACCCGGUGUUUCACGUAUCUAUGUUGCGGUAGUAUAUCUCAGAUGAGUCACAUGUACUUCGGUGGGACUUGGUUUAGUUGGACGAGGGAUUGACGUUUGUAGAGAAGCCAACAUCUAUUUUGGCGAGAGAUGUUAGGCGGUUGCGCUCCAGGGAUAUUCCGGUAGUUAAGGUUCAGUGGCAUCACCGUCCGGUUGGGGAGGCUACCUGGCAGAUCGAGCGUGAUAUAUGCACCCAGUAUCCCUACCUAUUUGAGUCUUUAGGUAUAACCUUAUCUUAUACUUUCGCGGACGAAAGACAUUUUAGUAGUGGAUGUUGUAAUGAUCCUUACGGUCAUUUUCCUGUAUUUUUAUAUAAUUUUGGUAUUAUCUAAACGUUUCGUGGUUUAUUUAAUUUAAUUUAGCAUUUCGUAGAAAUAUAAUUUAGUACCCUUCUAGAAUAUUUUCGAUAUUGGUAAAAUUCUUUAAGUCAUGAUAUAUUUAUAUUAAUUUAUAAUAGAUUUUUUACAUGAUUUAUUAAUAUUUUAUGCGGAGAUAGUAAAUUUAAAAAUAUUAAAAUAUUAUUAUUAUAUAAUAUAGGUUUUGUUAGAAAUCUAUUAAUUAUGAUAUAUUUAAAAUAUUAUAAUUAUUUUAUCAUGAAUUUAUGCAAUACACGAAUAUAUACGAAAUAGGAUUAAUUUAAUAAAUAUAUGUAUCUAUAUAUAUAUGGUGCAAGCUGCUUAAAUAGAAAAGUGGACCACGUGCUGCCACUUGUCUCAACCAUAGCCUAACUUACUUUUAUAUAUACAUGGUACCUUUUGACCUUUUAAAGGAAGGAAAACUUUUUGAUUGUAUGCAUAUGCACGUCCAUAUUGCUAUAUUGUCCUUUGUCGGUUUGCUUCUGUUUUUUUCAGUUUUUGUCAGUUUUUCUUGGUUAGUCUCAUAAAAUUUAAUAUAAGUUAAUUAUUCGAAUCAAUCAUUCAAGCUCGGGUUCUAUUAGUAUUAUUUAGAGGUUUCGCGGACAGAUAUUCUAGUUUUGACGUCUAGGUAGGCUAGGUUUACCCUACUUUUAGAUUGAGCUUAUAUACCGAAAUUGCGAACUAUUAUGCUAGCUUUGAAUAAAUACUUGUAGAUGCAUAUUAUUUGAUUUAUAUAAAUUGCCUUGUUUAUUGGGAUUAGGACCCCGUUCUAGUAAAUAUUGAAAAAUUAUCUUUUAACAUAAUAUAGCAUCUAUUACUUUAGAACGUGAAGCUAAAUUGCAAAAUCUUGAAUUUAUUCCUUUUUAAUUAAGAUUAACGAAUGAUUAUUUAGACAUUGACAUUGUUAUAAUAUAGAAUGGAUUUUAAUAUUAUCGGUGGGUUAUGGUUACUAUAACUUCCAGUUUGAGUCCGGCAAUUGAUUAUUAUGAUUACUAUGAGUACCAGUUCGAGUCCGGCAAUUGACUCCGAUUUGACUCCAACAUCUAAUUAUAGUUGGGGUUACUCUGAGUUCCGGUUCGAGUCCGACAUCUGAUUGUUUAUGUUUGCUUUCAUCACUUGUGUGUCCCACCAGCUUAUGGGGGUACGGUUGAGUUAAUUGUCUUUUUUAGUGUGCAAGCAGGCUUAUUGUCACGACCCGAACUGGGGUCCUGGCCAUGAUGAGCAUUCCGAACCAUAAAGGCCCGGAACACCCCUAUCUAUCUGGUAAUCAUGCACAUGACUUAUAUGACAAUGGAAAUGCGGAAGAUACACAAUAUAACGGAAACAUGAACAAGAAUCAUAUGAAAACAAUAAUGGAGAAUAAUGUCCCACAAUCUCAAUCAACAUCUCAAAAGCGUCUGCGAAAUCUCUACUACAUAACUGAAACAAAUAGCUAUCUGAAAACUGGGACAAGGCCCCCAGCAGACCCAAAACUACUAAAUGAUAACUGUAAUAGCAGACAUCAGGCCUUCCAAAAAAUAGAAGGCUCACCACUUGAUUCUGCGAUCUGUCGGAAGGAAUUACUGGUUAUCUGGACUCCUAGACUGUGCCUCCGAACCUGGGAGGGAAGGGGGUCAAUACAAAAGUACUGGUACACAGAGAAAUAAAAAACAGAAAUAUAAUAUUUUUACAAAAUAUAGGUGAGAGCCAUUAUAAAGCAAUUUCAUAUCUAAUCAUUUGAAAAGUACAUGGGUAUAAUGCAAUAGUUUUUCAACAACAAUGCAAUGCAGCCGAGCUAGGUGGAAUACCCUACAUAAUUUACACCAACUGUUAAACCUCGAUUGCCGCCGAGAUUAGAGUAUACGUGAGGGGAAGACACAGAAGAUCACACAGCAGGGUGUCUCGACCCAAUCAAGUAUGUUAGUGCCCAAGAUCACUUAGCUCGGGCUCCUAACCAUAGUCCCAAUUUGGGAAUGACAUAAAGUCAAGUACACAAGAUCACUUAGCCUGGUACCAAAUUCCCGUGUCGGCAAGCACAGUUUCCAGCGAUGAGCCAUUACACUAAACGCCUUCUUCGGGCAUCCACCUAUUUCAUGUAAAAUCAAUGCAUUCAACUCCAUUUAAUUCAAUCACAUAUCAUGUUCUGUAGGGUAUCGUCAUACCCGACUUGCAAGCCAUCAAUAUCACAUCAUUCUUUCAUGCAGCCAUUCUGUUCAUCAUAUUUCAACAUAACAAUUCUCUCCUUGCAAGUCAAAAAUCAUAUUCACUUUCAAAAUAUUUCAUGUCAUGCUCGUCAAGAUGAUUUCAAAACAAUUCACAUCAUAUGAAAAUUCAAAACAAUUUCAUAUCAAGAGAGGGAUUUCAUAUCAUUCAUGCUCUCAAUUUAACAUCUUUUUGGAAUACAUGCAUAUACAUAUAUCAUAUAUCAAAACACUUUGGGAAUAGUCCUAAAGACUAAAUCAAUAUCAUAAAAUGUUUAAAACAUAAUCAUAUUCGUAAUUUCAAAACCCCCAUUUUGAAAAUAUGAAUUUUUAAAACCCAUGAGAUUUUUAGGAUAACCCCACGUACCUCUAUAUGCGAAGAUGAUAGGUGUUUCUUGAAGCCUACGUUCUGGGAAUUCCAAAUAUGCAAUUAGUUUCAAAAACCCAUGGUUGAAUCUUGAAUUGCUUGGGUUUUUAUUUUGAAACUCUAAGGAGAGUUCUUGAGCAAUUUUGAUGAAUGAAGGUGUAUUUUGGAGUAUUUGGGGUUAAAUUCCAUGUUAGAGGUGAUAAGGGAACAAAAAAUUACCAAAACACCCUUAAUGAGACAAAACUUAAAAGCUGAAAAAUUUUCAUGUGUGAACAGACCAUGCGUCGCAUGCUAUUUCCAAUAGCAGUGGAGCAUGCGACGCAUGCUAUAUCGCAUGCUGGCACCAUGCGAUAGAGCAUGCGACGCAUGCUUAUCGCAUGGUGCUACUAUUUUGAAAUUCAAACACGCCUUAAACGAUGUUCAAAAAUUUUGAAACUCACCCGAGACGUAGUACGACCUUGCCCCAUCGCAAUGUAACAAGAAAAUAUAAAAACAGACGUUGGGAAGGUUGAAAAGUUAUAUCCCGAAGAUUGCGAGCUAAAAUGACUCUAAGUCCUCAUUACACUUAGAAUAAAUUUCAAGUUUUUAAGUCUAAGAGCACUCUAUUAAAGGCUAAUCCAUGCACGACUUUUACAGGGUGUUACACUUAUGGGGCUCAGUUAAGUUAUGUUUGAUUUAAUUGUUAUUACUGCAUUAUUAUUUUUCUGUAUCGCACAAGUUUAUUCCUUUACAGUUGUUGCAUAGCUUGAUAGUUGUUUACUUUUCCAUCCUAUUUACUAAUAACUUAGAUUACGUCCUUGCAUUGUAGUUAUACCUUUUCUAUAUUAAGCUCAGUCAGCCGAUGAUGCCUACUGAGUACCCGUGUUUUUUGGUACUCAUACUACACUUCUACAUCUUUUUCAUGAUGCAGAUCUAGGUACUAGUAGUCGGCGUUGACGUGGUUCCUACCUUUUAGUGCUGGUUUAGAGCGGGGUGAGUUUAUUGUCGUCCGAGGCUGAUCCUCCUCUAUCUACUUGAGUUAGUCUUUUUCACUCGAGACUACUUAUGUACAUUUUAGAUUUUUGUCUAGUACCCUAGGUACCUGUUAGUAGUGGCUCUAGUACUGACCUUAUUAGGUCUUGGGAGGAAUUCAUUUGUAUAGUUGGUCCUUUUUCCUCCUCUCAUUUCGAUAUAAUACAUAUGCUAUUUUCUUAGUUUUCACUUAUUAUUGUGGUUGUUAUUAUCAUACGUGAUCUUUUACUUUGUCUCUGUCUCUUAGCCCAUUACCUAUCAUUUCUGGCUAUGGUUUGGCUUGCCUACUGGUGGGAUAAGGUAGGAGCCAUCACGACUUGAGAAAUUGGGUCGUGACAAAUAAUAAUACAUAUUAUAAUGGCAUCAAAGAACGUGCUAAUAGGACUGUACAAAGUAGCAAAAGAAUAAUUAAAGUGUUCCACUUCUAAUCUUAAACGAAUUCUAAUGUUUGUUAUUUUAUUUAUUUACAUGUUCUAUCCUACACGAUGAUCAAAACAACAAUAUGCGUCUAUGUGUAUUCUUGCAAAAACUAAAGUGAAGUAAAACAAGCUACAUAUCGAUCUUUUCCACUUUUAUUUAUACAGGGUGAAUUAGGAAGAUUAAAUAUGAUUUCAAUUGAAGAUCCAAUUAUAUCUUCUGGAGUAGAACAUGGAUAUAGAGCAGCAAAUAGUACAUGCUUAAAUUGAUAAUAAAAAUAUUUAUAAAUAGUUUUAGUGAACAUACCUGAAAGAGAAGGAAAAUAAUGUGAAGAGGAAGAGGAAGAGAGAGAGAGAAACGUGAGGAGAGAGAGAGCAAUAUGAAGAGAGGAUGGGAGAACAGCGUAUUUAGAAAAAAUAAUAAAGUUUGAGACUUGUGAGGAAAUAAAUUGUGUUUAAACAGAGUUUGAAUGCCAUUCAGACUCUUUUCCAUAUCUGACUGAUUCAGAGGUUUUAAGAUGUUUUAAGGGGAAAAGACUCAUUUCCAGUCCAAACUAUAUAAUAAAAAGUUAAAUCCACACCUAAACUAUAUAAGUGACCUAUUACACACCUUAACUAUAUAAAAGUGAAACUUCUUACACCCUGUAAAGCAUUAUACCACUUGCAUUUGGUAUGGUGUUGUACAUGUGCCUGCUAUGUUAGCGCCACAUCAUCAUGAUACGAAAAAAAUAAUAAAUUUAUUAUUUUCAUAAAUUUUUCUUGAUUAUGAAAAACUUUUAGUGAUUUUCAUAGGGACAGGUUCAGCAAAAUUGGAACAGAAAUAUGAUGCUAAAAGUGCCUCAAAAUGGGGUGUUUUUGGAUUACUACUUAAUGAAAGCUCUAAACACCGAUGCUGAUGUCAAAUCAAAGAUCAAACAAUGUGGAAAUUGUACCACAAAAUGCUGAGGUUUUCUUGACAUAGGAAGAUUGAAAAUUGUGAACUUUGAAAUCUUUUGUACGUAUUUGUAGCUUCGAUGGGGCGAUAAUUAAUUUCGAUGGUUGAAUUGAAUUGGGGGAAGAAAAAGAAGGAGGAAUUUCACCCAUUGUUAAUCAUUCGAAACUCAUUAGCAACUUGAAAUUGAAAUUUUCAGUUUGGGUAUUUUUGAAUUUGGAGAAGAAGAAGAAGAUGGAUGCUGAGGACUUUUGAAUUUGAAGAAGAAGAAGGAUGUUUAGAAACCUUCAAAAAUUCUAAACAUCUUUUUUUUAGUUUGGGGAUUUUUGAAUUUGGAGAAGAAAAAGAAAAUGAAUUUGAAUUGGAAUUUUCAGUUUUAAGUUUUUUUUUGUGUUAUUUUUUAAUUUAGAUGCGCCUAUUUUUAAUUAAAUAAUUAUAUUUUUUCCACGUCAGAUUUAGGGGGUAAAAAAAAAGUAUUCAAAUCACAAAACUGUUACAAUAAAUCAGCUUUAAAACCACCUUGCUAUAACAAAAUUAAAAUUUCAAAUUAAUUUGCUAUAUCAAAAGCUGGAUUCAAGAACAGAUUGCUAUAUCAAAAAUAAGAUUCAUAGACUAGUCUAAUAAUACCAAUUGAACUGUCUACGAAAUAACAAUCAUGUCUAUAUUAUUACAAUCAAACUGUGACCUCAUUGACCUGUCCGGACUCUCAUCAUUACUCACGGCAUUGUCCUCAAUCUUCUGAGUCUUGUGAUGCCAUAAAAGGAUAGCAUAUCGGGUGCGCAAAGCUUCAACGUCAAAAACUCUUGGUGGUACACCUUUUUCAUAGCUAAUAUACUCUAUAUAUGCAGCGACAAAGACUCCACGAUCCCUGCAUAUUCAUAUUUUUGAUAGUAAGUAGUAAACUGAAUGAAAAACUAUGAGUUUGUAAUGAUAUUAAAUAAUAAAAUUAGAAUAUGUGAUAUAUCAUCUUACAAAUAAUAUCUCUUAUUUGUGUAGAUCUCAAAAGGAAUAAAUAAGAAAGCAUGACUUCUUAUGAGCCCUAUACACAAAUAUAUUAAGAUUUAUAUAAACCAAAUUUCUCUCUCAUGUAAUUACUUUCCAAAAAUAUAUGAAACUUCAUUCAAUCAAGCAUAUUCACCACCAUCACAUAUCAUAGUUGCACCACACGACCUUUAAACAGACUUUUCAAGUAAAAAUUCAACUAAGAUAACUAUUUCAGUUUGCCAAAUUCUUAUUUAAGUCCCUAUCACUUUUCAGUUAUGCCCCGACUUUCAUAAUUCAAGUAUACAGAAUCAACUUUAGGCACAUUGUUAACAAAAUCACUUAUACAACAAAAAAUCUUCAAAAGAUAGAUCACAUACAUCACAUUGUAAAAACUGUAUAUACAUAUAUGCACUCUAAUUUCUUUAUAUAUAUAUAUAUAUAUAUAUUCUACAAAAAGUAUAUGUAUAUACAUUUAUUGAAACAAAAAAUGUAUAUUGAACAAUAAUUUUAUUUCAUGAAAAUAAAUACGAAACUACCUCAUAAUCAUUGUCAACUUCAUUGCUCCCCCUUUAGAUUGAGAUACCUUAGAACCUUUUGCCCUUUCCUCCUUGCUAGAAGAUGCAAAAUUCUUUCCUUUUUUUUUUUUUCCGAUAAAUCAACCUUCAAUAUUUUGGAAGUGCCUGUUAAAUCAUCUCUUGACUGUGAAUGUAUCAUGAUAUUGUGAUUAUUGACAUGGGCAUUGAUUUUUUUUGUUCGUGACACUUCUCUCUACUUGUCCACUUCCAACUUCGCUAAAAAAUUUGUAUUUUCACUAUCUAAUUGAGAAACACCCAAAUCAAACGAUGGAGCGCCGCAAUUAAUCAUGGGUAUAUGUUGAAUAACUCUUGUCAAUCUCCUAUUAGGUGUUUCUUUAUCCAUUUAAAAUAAAAAGUAAUUGAUAACUUGAAACCGUAAUAAACAAUGCAAAAUAGAUGAACAAUGAAGACAUUUAUCGACUCACUUAAAUAAUAUAUAAAAAAUCAAAAAGAAAUUAAAUCUAACAUAAAAAAUACUUAAAGAUUGCCUCAAAUCUUCAAUAAAUAUCCUAAACGGAUUUUAUGUGGUGACAUAUCCGCAAAAAAAAGUUCUUCAAAAUAAAAUCAAGGAUGAUAUUUUGUGAUAUUUGAGUGAUUUUGAGAGAAACAUAAGGAGAAAAAAAUUGAAGAAGAUCGCUUGAAGAAUCGUGUAUUAUGAUGUUGUCAAUGUUGGCGUUUCUUCAAUGUAAAAUCAAGGAUAUUAUAGUGAUUUUGAGAGAAAUAAGGAGAAAAAAGUUGAAGAUAUCUUCAAUAAUCGCAUGCUUUGAUGUUCCCAUUGUGCCAUUUUUUGAGCCAAUAGAAUAGCGAGAGAAUAAAAAGAAAAUACCAAAAAUAAAUUAUAUACAAAUCUUAAUAUAUUUGUAUAUAGGGCCCCACAAAAAAACUGAUUUUAAACUAGCAAAUGACUAUGAAUUAUAAUUUUUUAAAACAUUAAUCAUUCCAUGUAAUUAAUAUAAUAUUUUAUCUAUAAUAUGUGAUUUUUUCCUCAAUUAAUCUCUAGAUAAGCGCGUAAAAAAAUAGGUAUGUUAAAUUUAGUUCAGAAGGAGAUUGCUGUAUUUUUAGACAAAGUCCCACAUUUAUAGCAAGUAGGAAAAAAAGAGGAAACUUAUAUAAAUCCCUGAAUCUUUAAGUGGUAUUACAUAAAAUCCUGACUAUUUUAUUAAUUACAUUUUAUCCCAAUUUUUUGAAAUGGUGAUACAUAUAAAAAAGUGAUACAUUUGAAACUAACAUGAUAUUUAUUUAAGAAAAUAAUAGAUUCUCUUUUAUUCAUUGUAUUCUUUUAUUUAAGGAAAGAUAUCUAAUUUUUCUUUUUUUUUUUUAGAUUUAAUUUAGGUGUUUUAAUUAUGUUUCUCUUUUUUCAUCUUUAAUUAUGAAAAAUAUAUUUUUUUUGGUCUUUUUACUCUUUUUUCGUCUUUAAUUCCGUCUUUAAUUUCAGUCUGCUUUUUUUAGAUUUAAUUUUAAUUAUGUUUCAAUUCUGCUUUUAGUCUUUUCUUAUAAAAAUAUUAUUACUUUUGUUUCCUAUACUGACUACACAAUUAACUUUCGUUAAUGACAUAUGAAUCACCCAAUAAUUGAAAUAAAUAAUUGUAUCUACCAUAUGAAUCACUAUAAUACCAUAAAUAUCACCCAUUAAUAUCAUAUGAAUCACCCAAUAAUUGAAAUAAAUAAUUAUAUCUACCAUAUGAAUCACCAUAAUACAAUAUGCAUUACUCAUUAAUAUCAUAUAUAUCACUCGUUAACAUCAUACAAAAUGUAUCUAUCGUAUGAAUCAUCCUAAUACUCAUAUAAUGAUAUCAUAUUUAUCAUUCAUAUGAAUCACCAUUAAAAAAAUAAACAUGUAUGAAUAACUAAAUAAAUUUAUAUAUGUAUCAAUAGAUUUUAUUUUAAAAAAUGGGAGAGAUUUUAGGAGAGGAAAAAAAAGUUGCAUGCAUUAAUGGAGGAGAAAAAAUCAGGACGGAAGAUAAUUUAAUUGUUGAAUGAGUUAAUGCUGCAGUAAAAAUAGGAUGUGAGGCUUUCUUGAUUUGUAUCAAGAGUAAAGUUGAAAAAUGCGAUUUUAUAUAAAUUUUAAAAAAGUAAGGGAUAUGAGGUAAUAUAGUCUCUUAAGUAUGAGAUUGGUGUAAUUUAUCUAAAAGAAAGUUAUAUGGUAUUGAAUACUCUUUUAGUGACAUUAGACUUUUUUAAAACAAUCGUGCAAAUUUAGUCCCAAAAUGGACAAUAUCGUGCUAUGUCAAGAUUCAACAAUAACAUUUUCUCCUUUGAGAUAAUAGUGUCCAACUAACUUGUUUUAUUCUUGUGUUGUGGUCAUGUUAAUAUUUUAAUUUUUACCAAGAUAUUUAAGAGAUGAUUGUUGAUGUUUUUAGUUUUAAAUUUUUUAGGCAAAAGAUAGUUGAGAAUGUUCUUAUUGACAAUUUUUUUUCUUUAUCCAAUAAUGUAAGCAGUGGAGGUUGGUAAGUACAACUUUCUUCAAUAAUUCAGGGUAGGGAAAAUGUGCUUACUGCACCUUGUUGACAUGUUGGUUUUGACCAUUCAUGACUGGACAAUAUUUUGUGGCUCAAACGCUACAACAACAAAAUUUUCUAUUAUUGCCAGUGUACGUAUUUGUUUUGAGAGGUACUCAAACUAGAGCUAUUGGUGUUGAAUAAACAAAUCAUUGGUUGACUAUAGUAUGACGAUAUAUUUACACAAAACUUCUACCCGAGGCACACGUAAUAGAAUCGAAGAUGCCAAGUGAAAUUCAAUCCACGAGAAUAAUUACAUUCCAUGGAUUAGAGUUUAAGUUGUUGCUCUUAAUUUUACUUGUGGAUGCACAAAUUUUGAUCCAACAAUAGAGGAGUUGACAUAGAAUCGAGCUUUUUCUAUUUUUAUUUUUUGAUUUAUUGGAUCGCUUCACAGUUUCUUCCCAUAUUCAUGUACUCUAUUUUGCUCAUUUUUUAUUUUAUAUUUUGCUCAUUCAUUUGAUCACAAAAAGUAAAUAAUUCAAUUACUUCAUGUUGAUUUUGCAACGAGAUAAGAGUUCAAUCAAGUAAAACUACUACCCACUUCUAAAAAUGGAAUGAAGAAAGUUAAAGUUGAUAAUUGACAUUUUCCAAAACGUUUUGUAUCAAAUUGAACCAACCUUUAAAGUUGACCUACGAAUAUAUUACAAUCAAACCUUGUUAUGGGGACAUCUAACUAAAAUUUUUACGGUUGUUAUAAAGCUUCUGAUAUAUAUUUAUAUUGACAUUUGACGCUUAGAUCGCAAUUAGUUGUUAUAAACAAAAAUACGCAAAAAAAUAAUUUAAGAAUUUUGUAUACCAAGGAGAAUAAUAUAUUUGUUAACCAAUUUAACCAAAAACAUAAAAGACAAAAAGCUAGUAGCCUUUCCUGAUGACGUUACGAGCUUAACCAAAGAACUCAUUUAAAUUUUUAAGUAUAAAUAACAUAAAUACCAACUCUUUUGAAAGUAAUUACACUCUCUUCUACUUUUUUAAUCACUUUUUUUUUUAAAUCUAUUAGGCCUUCAAAAGAAUCAUCAAAUACAUUGUUGACUAUAGUAGAUUCAUGCAGUGAAUGUAUUCAUACACUAAUCCAAAAUUAACACGUUCAAAUCCUGAUUUCAGUUUCCACAUCAAGUUGAUUACUUCUAUCGAACAUUAAAUUGAAAAUUAGAACUAAUAAAUCUAGUUCUGGAGAAAUUAUUCGUAUUGUUCAAAUCAGUGCACAAUGGAGGAGAAAGAAAAGACAGGCUAUGGUACAGGCAUGGGAUGAUCACAAAAAUCAAAACUGUUCAAAAGGGAACGGAAUGAUUCUUCAAGUUCAUCAAAACCUCGAUAGACGGCUUUAGUUUGAUUUUGUGGAAGCGGUAAUCUUCACACUUCUGUCAUAUAUCUACUUAAACCGGGGGAAAAAACAUGAACGAGGUUAGAUAUGCACAAUAAACAUAUGUAAUGACAAAACGAGAUAGUAUGGAAAUCCUACUACAUGUAAAGUAUUACUCCGAGUGCUUGAGAAACGUAGGCGUCCUACAACAAUGCCGUGUACCCAAUGUGAUCUCACAAGUGUGGAAUGCAGAAGGUAGAGUAAACAUUUUCGGCUCUCUCGACCCCCCCUCCUCCUCCACAACCACAACAGGAAAGAACAACAAUAAUAAACCCAGUAUAUCCCACAAAGUGAGAUUUAGGGAGGGUAAGUGUACGCAUCCAUACCACUACCUCAAGGUGAUAUAGAGAGGUUGUUUCCGAUAGACCCCCGGCUCAAGACAAAAACAGAACAGAAAAGAAAUAGUAAAGAAACACGAAACAACAGAACACACUAGAUAAUAACAUAAACUAGACUAGCACCAAGUAAUACGAUAAACAACAACACCCCCCGAAAAAAGACUAGCACUAUGACUACUAGCAAUGACGCACUCCCCCCUACUAUCCUUCUACUCUAUACGUAGGGGUGGCAAUGGUGCGGUGCGGUGUGGUUUUUUCUAAACCCGCAAAUUUUAAAACCGCACCACAUCACAUCACCUUUAAAUCCCGCAUAAACCCGUACCAACAAGUUUUGCUUUUUUCUUUAUUGAAAAGUUUGUAACUCCACUGGAAACCAUAAUAUUUUCAAUACUAGGAAAUAGUAACAACCUAUUUCUAUUAUAUCACUUUUCACUAAGAAACUAUCAGAAAAGUAUCACGUGUACAAGUAAUGAUCAAAUAUCAAAUUUUCAUUAAGAUGAGUAAAGAUAUUGAAAAAGUUAUAAAAUUGUUCAUUCGUAGUUUUAUACUUGUUAGCUUAAGUAUCAUAAAAUUUUAAGUGAAGAAUACAUACAAUGUUAGGUAGAUUCACGAGAAUAAUAAUAAUUUUUAACUUUUUUUUUUAAAUUUAAACCCUUAUAUGCCCACAACCCACCUUGCCUUGCACCAUUGAAAAAAACAUACUUAAACCCGCCCCGCACCCACAUAGACUAAAAUACACGCCGCCCCACAUAGCCUAAAACCCGCACCACCCCACAUAGCCUAAAACCCGCAUCGCCGUGCACUCGCACCGCCCAAUUGCCAUCCCUAUCUAUAGGCAUCCUCCAAACCUUUCUAUAUUGGGUCAUGUCCUCGGUAGGCUACACAUACUUACACAAAGAGAACAAUCAGACAAAAUAAACAAAAGAGAUUCUCAGUUCCGUCACAACACUUACAGUAGGCGCAUGUGAAUCAAAGAUUAAGUUAAAAGUAAUGAUCUAACAACUUUUCUCUCCUAUGCCACUGUCACGACCCAAAUCGAGGCUUUGGCUGUGGCGAGCAUUCCGAACCAUAAAGGCCCAGAACACCCCUAUCUGUCUGGUAAUCAUGCAUAUGACUUAUAUGACAAUGGAAACGCAGAAGAUACACAAUAUUAUGGAAACAUGGUCAAGAAUCAUAAGAAAAUAAUAAUGGGGAAUAAUGUCCCACAAUCUCAAUCAACAUCUCGAAAACGUAUGCAAAAUCUCUACCACAUGACUGAAACAAAUAGAUAUCCGAAAACUGGGACAAGGCUCCCAACAAACCCAAAACUAAUAAAUGAUAAAUGAAAACUGCCAGAUAUCAGGCCUUCUGGAAUAUAGAAGGCUCACUAAGUGACUCUGCAAAUCUGUCUGAGGAAUCUACUGAUUUUCUGGACCCCUAGACUGUGCCUCCGAACCUGGGAGGGAAGAGGGUCAAUACAAAAGUACUGGUACGCAGAGAAAUAAAAACAAAAGCAUAAUAUUUUUACAAAAUAUAGGUGAGAGCCAUUAUAAAGCAGUUUCAUAUCAAAUCAUUUGAAAACACAUGGGCAUAAUGUAAUAGUUUUCAACCACAAUGUAAUGCAGCUGAGCUAGGUGGAAUACCCUACAUAAUUUAUACCAACUGUCAAACCUCGUUUGCCACCUAGAUUAGAGUAUACGUGAGGGGAAUUCACACAAGAUCACAUAGCAGGGUGUCUCGACCCAAUAGAGUAUGGUAGUGCCCAAGGUCACUUAGCUCGGGCUCCUAACCAUAGUCCCAAUUUGGGAAUGACAUAAAGUCAAGUACACAAGAUCACUUAUCCUGGUACCAAAUUCCCAUGUUGGCAAACACGAUUUCCAGCGAUGAGCCCUUACACUCAAACGCCUUCUUUGGGCAUCCACCUAGCUCAUGUAAAAUCAAUGCAUUCAACUUCAUUUAAUUCAAUCACAUAUCAUGUUCUGUAGGGUAUUGUCAUACCCGACUUGCAAGCCAUCAAUAUCACAUUAUUCUUUCAUGCAGCCAUUAUGUUCAUCAUAUUUCAACAUAACAAUCCCUCUCUUUGCAAGUCAAAAAUCAUAACCGCUUUUAAAAUAUUUCAUGUCAUGCUUGUCAAGAUGAUUUCAAACAUUUCACAUCAUAUGAGAAUUUAAAACAAAACCAUAUCAAGAGAGGGAUUUCAUAUCAUUCAUGCUCUCAAGUUAACAUCUUUUCGGAAUACAUACAUAUUUAUAUAUCAUAUAUCAAAUCACUUUGGGAAUAGGCCUAAGGACCAAAUCAAUAUCAUAAAACGUUCGAUACAUAAUCAUAUUUGUAAAUUUCAAAACCCCCAUUUUGAAAACAUGAAUUUGUAGGUCUAUGAGAUUUUUAGGAUAACCUCACGUACCUCUAUAUGCAAAGAUGAUAGAUGUUUCUUGAAGCCUACGUUCUGGGGAUUCCAAAUAUGCACUUAGUUUAAAAAACCCACGUUUGAAUCUUGAGUUUUUUGGGUUUUUAUUUUGAAACCCUAAGGAGAGUUCUUGAGCAAUUUUGGUGAAUAUGUGUGAAAUUUGGCUCUUUAGGGAUUAAAUCCCAUGUUUAAGUUGAGAGGGGAUUGGUAAAUUACCAAAUUGCUAUUAAUUUCCCGCAUGAGGCUGAAAAUUAAGCCUACGCGAUAUAGUAGGCGACGCAGCCCUUAGUACACUGCGAUUAAGCAGGCGUCGCCCGCUCAAUUGCGGGCUAAGGUUCCAUGCACGCGAUCCAGCAGGCGGUGCGGGAUAAUCACGUGUUGCCACUGGAAUUUAAAUCCAAACUUGUCCUUAAGCUCUUCUAAAUUUUCAAAACUCUUCCAAAACGUACUACAACUUUGCCCCAUCGCAACGCAACAAGAAAAUCCAAAAAUGGAUAUCGGGAAGGUUGAAAAGUUAUAUCCCAAAGAUUGCUAGCUAAAAUGACUCUAAGUCCUUAUUACACUUAGAAAAUUUUCAAGUCUUAAGUCUAAGAGCACACUAUUAAAAGGCUAAUCCAUGCACGACUUUUAUGGGGUAUUACAUUAUUUCACCCUUGGGAUCAUUCGUCCUCGAAUGAUGGGUAGGAUCUUGUUGAAGCCUUAAAGGUAUGGAAUAACGCGGGCAUGAUGCAUCCUCUAAUAAGGAUACACUGGUUUGAAACAUGACUGUAUGACUGGAACUACUGAUAUUUAGAAUUCUUAUAUCGGACAUGCAAUCUGUUGCAUGAAAUACACAACUGAGUCGUUCUCAUGAACGCAAGACUGAAUACAAUGACAAAUUGAACUUUUUUUCUAUUGAACAUGCAUUUCUAAUGCAUGUAUAUCUGACUGAACUGGCGUCUGAACGUAUGACUGAACACGCAAUAAUGACUGAUAGAAACUUAUAAUAAGAAUCUAUGCAUGCAACUGAAUGGGGUAUCUCCCCCUUGGGACACUAUGUCCUUCUAUGAAUGCUCAAUUCACUAAGAUACUCGAAAAAUUGAGGCGAUGCACUAGGCACCUACAAAUUGAAUCAUAACUGAACAUCUAGAGUCUUAAUCUAGUACAUUACGCAUGAACUAAGCUAUACUCGCAACUACUUAUAUACUCUAUCUUGGAAUAGUAACAUAUCUAAGAUUUUGGGUAGCAUGAUUAAAUGAAAAAGACGAGAAAAUAAGUCAUGCGAAUCUGAUCGCUAAACUGAUUUGCUGGCCACAUAGACUGAACUAUACUGGAAACUUAUACUCAAUCUGGAGUAUCUUAUCAACACUCUUCCUAACGAAGUCCUAGUAACAUUAGGUAGCAAAAGAUCUUGGGCAUGAGUCAUACAAGACAUCCAACUAUAGGACCCCAACAUUGACAUUGCUCUGUAGAUUGGAAUAUAGACAUAUAUCUCAUAAAUCAGGAUAGAAUUGCCAGGCCUUAGUCAAUCGUCUUGGCCUAAUCGUCUUGGCCUAAUCUUCUUGGCCUUGUAACAAUUUAUUACACCAAUUAACAUGAUUACAUAAUUAAACAUGCUCCUUGCGACUUCUUACUUCCAAGAUUAACACACUCCUCGAAUACUCCCUUAACUGUACUAUUUCCCGCAGAUACCACAUUCAUUCAAUUCCACGUAUUUGUUCUCAUAUUUGCAUUUAUAAAUCUUUCUACUAAUGUCUAUAGUAACUUAAAUCCUUUCACCGUGAUCAAGCCUAACUUCAAAUAGCAACAUACAACAUGCCACAUUACUUUAAUGGUUAACUCUGAACUAUUAUAUGAAUUCAGCAUUCCUCCACUACAAUCCCAACAUGUCAUUCGAGCCAAUUUCAUAACCACAUGUGAACUUCAAGGCAACACCCGUAAAGACAUACUACACAGAUUCACGAGCUAAGAUCUUCCAUUAUCCAUUAUCCAUGCGCUACCCUCAGAACAUACACACACAGAUUCCCACUAACCAUCACACAUAUCAAAGAUUUGGCCCCAAUCUUACUUUACACUUAUGGCCUUAUCUAAAACAAGCAUACUAUGAUCUUCCAUCAAUAAGAAAUAUUUACUCCUCACAACUAUCCUCACAUAAGAAGGAGUCACAAAAGGCCAGAACAUAAGAUCUCAAAGCAUAGAAGGAUAUUAUAUGAAACUUGACACAUAACUGAGGCCUGAGGAAUAGCAAAUCAACAUCCAGGAUUUAUCAAAGAAAAAUCUGAAUUGGGGUACACAUGGCUAUGAACUUUAUUUCGCCUGUCAUAAAGAGUAUAACAUGAAUUAUGGGAACUGAGCACACAAUAAAGAGUGAAUACUUGAGUCAUGAGCUGCAUGACCUCAAUUUAGAGUUCAUAACAUAUGGAAUGUGAUUUCGAUGGCUGAAUAAACUGAAGUUCCUCAUUUAGGAAUCUGGAAGAGCACGUGAUUUUCUAUCAUAUACAAGAACAUGAACUAUGAUCAUGGAACUAAAACGUGAGGUAUGAGUAGGUAUUAGGAUAACUGAAAAAUACUGAGACUGGAAUGGGUUGAGCCUCACUCUUCCCUUCUGAUGUUCUAUGUCAUACUGACAUCACUACUAGAAUUUGAGGGCCAAACUUGGUUACUUGUUCUAUCAUCUCCCUUUUGGCUUUAAGCCAUCAUCUUUAGUUUGGGAGAUCCCUUACUAGACUUUAAACUUAACCACACUCACUGCACUCUGGGGUCUGAAAUAUGACAAUACACAAAAUUAAUAGAACUUAACCCGAAAGACCACACAUGAAAGUGGAAAGCCCACUGCUAAUACUACCUUCUGAGAUAUACUUUAUAUUUUGAUAUCCCCAAUUGUCAUAGUAUAAUGCUUGCACACUUAUUUCUAUCGGUUCAAGCUUCAAAACUCAAACUUAGAUUUGAUUCUAACACUUAACAUGAACAUCACCAAGCAUUUGGUGAACCAUACCACUUUCGACAUAGUGUACCAAUAUCGCGACUUCAAACUUAUUUCUCAUUACAAUGAGAAUCAAGAUCACAUAAAAAAACUCGACACUAUCAAUCGAAACUCUGUCACCUAGCUAUUUAGAACCCAUAUAACAUCUACUAGUCUUUCUCCAUCUAGCAACUCAGCGGUACUACUAGCCAUACACAACAUGUAAUAGUCUUAGAGAAAUGCCACAACUCCCUAUCACCUUAGGUAUACUUACACACCAUACCUACAACAUUAUACUUCAUUAUGAAUCAGCUUAAACUUAAGCCAUUUCAUACAUCGUUCAAACCUAUUAGAUCACUUCCAUAUAACUAGCAUUAUUAACCAAGAAAUCAUCACAUCCACCUUCAUGGACUUCAACUGUUUAAAACUUAAUGUCUAGUGCUAAACAUGAUUUUACAACCCAACCUUACGCAUGAUUCUUACUUGGAUACCAUGAAAUAAACAUCAAGAAACACUAGUACACUAGAACUUCCUAAGAAUAAAUAAUUGAUAUUGACCUUACGGUCUUCCUUAUCAUAACUCAUUAGAACGUACUAUUUCAACACAUCUAGCCUACUAAUUUAUUCCCACAAAACACACAUCAUUAAUCUCAUGCCACUAUUUUUACCACCACAUUCUACAUUAAAUUCAAGCAUAUAGUCCUGUACCAAUCAUCUAUCACCACUGAAAAAUGCAACAUAAUAUACUAGUCCAUAAAAUUUGGGACAUACUAUACAAACGCCUAAAAAAUCACUACAUACCUUCUCACAAGUAGUACUAGUUUACAACUACCAAUGAAAAAAAGGUCAAGGGGUAAAGUUACAUAAUAGACAUAAUCAACCUUAAUCUUAUAUCAUAACCCCAUACAAUCUUUUCUACUUUACGGAUUUCUCACCUCAUACUUACUUACCUAAGCGUACAUUUAGAUUACCUUCAAAUUCCACAAAUAACCAUGAGUCUAUAAUUAUAACUUACUGGCUAAUAUAGCCAUUUUUCACACUUCAAGCAACCGACAAAUCACCCUGACUAACAAAUCCUUCUCUAAUCUCUACUAAACUAACACACAAAGACGAAUCACCUCUUUGCCAACUCCAUCUCAUGCAAACAGAUUUAGCUACACAUAUAUUAAACCAACACAAGAACAACAAGUUGCUAGUGAAUCGAAAUAGGCCUCACACGGCUUCACUAGACUUUGAUUUUUCAAAAAUAUCAUGAUAACAAGAUUACAUAUUAUAAGAGAUAGAAGAUUGACACAUAGUAUUCAAUGAUCUAAGAAUAUACCUCUUACUUAGCGUAAAUAAAAAUUUGAGUCAAACACUUCCCCCAUAGACUACUAUGCAGUCCACACAUGCUACUAGCUACCAUAUUAGCCUAUCACUAUAAAAGGGUAAAUCAUCCUCAAGCAUUGGUUAUUCAACAGAAAUAUUUAUUUACACAAAAAUCACCCUCACUCUGACUUCUAACUUCGAGACUUUACAACACCAACUUCUUGGUCCAAUAUCACUACCAAUAGGUUAUGACAACAAUACUUUAACUCAUACUACUAUUCGGGUGGAAAUACACUUCCAACAUUCUACUAUACGUUGUUCACAUCUAUGACAAAAAUUUAAAGGGGACUAGAUGCAAUUAAUACCUCAAGCUGAAAAGCAAGAUUCCAUCAAGAUCAAUGUUUGCAUCGAAAUCAAUAAGUACUGAAGCACUAACAGACUCUUCUUAAGCCUUGCACAAAAUUUUAACUCUUAUAUGGUUCAAUAAAAAAGGACCAUACUAUUUAGAUUCUAAACUUCUGCACUUGAAUUGCCUCAAUAAUGAAACAUAUCUGAGGACGUCAGAGUAAGAAAGGAUUUAGGGUAACUUUACUUUCGUAAGGCCGACACCAAUAGCACGAAUUAGAGUAUGAAAGAGGAACGUUUUGAAUCCAUUGCACGAACUAGAACAUGAAGAAAAAGAGACAUUCCUAAACGCCUAGUAGCCUACUGCUUAUAAGUGUGGCGCGCUACACACCCAUAAAUAAGAUUCUACCCGACGUGAUUUUGCAGACACCUUGGGACCAUGAACCAUGCUCUGAUACCAAGUUUGUCACGACCCGAAAUGGGGCCCUGGCCGUGAUGAGCAUUCCGAACCAUAAAGGCCUAGAACACCCCUAUCUGUCUAGUAAUAAUGCACAUGGAAAUGCGGAAGAUACACAAUAUAACGGAAACAUGAACAAGAAUCAUAUGAAAACAAUAAUGGGGAAUAAUGUCCCACAAUCUCAAUCAACAUCUCAAAAACGUCUGCGAAAUCUCUACUGCAUGACUGAAAUAAAUAGCUAUCUGAAAACUGGGACAAGACCCCUAGCAGACCCAAAACUAAUAAAUGAUAAAAAAAAACUGUUAGAGAUCAGGCCUUUCGGAAUAUAGAAGGCUCACCAAGUGACUCUGCAAAUCUGUCUGAGGAAUCAACUGAUUUUCGGGUCCCCUAGACUGUGCCUCUGAACCUGGGAGGGAAGGGGAUCAAUACAAAAGUACUGGUACACAGAGAAAUCAAAACAAAAGCAUAAUAUUUUUACAAAAUAUAGGUGAGAGCCAUUAUAAAGCAGUUUCAUAUCAAAUCAUUUGAAAACACAUGGGCAUAAUGUAAUAGUGUUCAACAACAAUGUAAUUUAGUUGAGCUAUGUGAAAUACCCUACAUAAUUUACACCAACUGUCAAACCUCGAUUGCCGUCGAGAUUAGAGUAUACGUGAGGGGAAGACACAAAAGAUCACACAGCAGGGUGUCUCGACCCAAUAGAGUAUGGUAGUGCCCAAGGUCACUUAGCCUAGGCUCCUAACCAUAGUCCUAAUUUGGGAAUGCCAUAAAGUCAAGUGUACAAGAUCAUUUAGCCUGGUUCCAAAUUCCCAUGUCGGCCAACACGGUUUCCAGUGAUGAGCCCUUACACUCAAAUGCCUUCUUCGGGCAUCCACCUAUCUCAUGUAAAAUCAAUAUAUUUAGCUCCAUUUAAUUCAAUCACACAUCAUGUUCUGUAGGGUAUCGUCAUACCCGACUUGCAAGCCAUCAAUAUUACAUCAUUCUUUCAUGCAGCUAUUAUGUUCAUCAUAUUUCAACAUAACAAUCCCCUCUCUUUGCAAGUCGAAAAUCAUAACUACUUUUAAAAUAUUUCAUGUCAUGCUUGUCAAGAUGAUUUCAAAAAUUUCACAUCAUACGAGAAUUUAAAACAAAACCAUACCAAGAGAGGGAUUUCAUAUCAUUCAUGCUCUCAAGUUAACAUCUUUUCGGAAUAUAUGUAUGUACAUAUAUAAUAUAUUAAAUCACUUUGGGAAUAGGCCUAAGGACCAAAUUAAUAUCAUAAAACGUUCGAUACAUAAUCAUAUUCGUAAAUUUACAAAACCCCCAUUUUGAAAACAUGAAUUUAAAGGCCCAUGAGAUUUUUAGGAUAACCCCACGUACCUUUAUAUGCGAAGAUGAUAGAUGUUUCUUGAAGCCUACGUUCUGGGGAUUCCAAAUAUGCACUUAGUUUCAAAAACCCACGGUUGAACCUCGAGUUUCUUGGGUUUUUAUUUUGAAACCCUAAGGAGAGUUCUUGAGCAAUUUUGGUGAAUAUGUGUGAAAUUUGGCUCUUUAGGGAUUAAAUCCCGUGUUUAAGUUGAUAGGGGAUUGGUAAAUUACCAAAUUGCCAUUAAUUUCCCGGAUAAGGCUGAAAAUUAAGCCUGGCGCGAUAUAGCAGGUGACGCAGGCCUUAGUGCACUACGAUUAGGCAGGCGUCACUCGCUCAAUCGCGGGCUAAGGUUCCAUGCACACGAUCCAGCAGGCAGCGUGGGCUAAUCGCGCGCUAUCACUGGAAUUUAAAUCCAAAUACAAUUUUAGGUAAAUUCACGAGAAUAAUACUAAUUUUUAAAUUUUUUUUUUCAAUUUAAACUCUUAUACCCACAACCCACCCCGCCUCGCACCAUUUUAAAAAACAUACUUAAACCCACUCUGCACCCACAUAGUCUAAAAUCCACACUGCCCCAUAUAGCCUAAAACGCGCACCGCUGUGCACCCGCACCGCCCAAUUGCCAUCCCUAUCUAUAAGCAUUCUCCAAACCUUCCUAUAUAGGGUCAUGUCCUCGGUAAGCUACACACACUUACACAAAGAUAACAAUCAAACAGAAUAAACAAAAGAGAUUCUCAGUUCCAUCAUAAUAAUUACAGUGGACACAUGUGAAUCAAAGAUUAAUAUAAAAGUAAUGAUCUAACAAAUUUUUUCUCCUACGCCACCCAUAAAAGCAGAUAAAAAAAUACUGAUAAACUGGCACAUCGUAAAGCAUUUAAUAAAUUCUAAUCUAUAGCAAACUAUCCAGAUUAAUAACACCUUAAUUAAUAACAGUGUUCUAUCCUAAUGAUAAAGUCCCACCAAGAAUCAGAGAGGCUCCAUUAACACUUGUACCCAUUCCCUGUUGCGAAGACAGAAUGUGCCCAUUCACAAAAUAAAGCCAACACGGAACGCAGGAGACGCAAUCUAAGAUUGGAGUUGGCAACACCACUCCACCGGAUAAUAGCUGGUCAUAAGUAUUUAAUACAGGCUCUAAUGCACCCUUGCAAGCAGCUAAAAGAGCCCUAGGAAUAUCUUUAUCUCCAACAGAUUCAGCACCAGAAACCACUUGCUCCUUUAAAGUAUUAAAGAAUCAAUUAAGUUUAGAUUCUACAAGUGAAGCAUUGAACUAGUUGAAAGCACAUGCAAAGGGAGAAUCAAUUAAGUUCAAAUUCCAUAAGUGAAGGAUUGUACUAGUGGAAAGCAUAUGCAAAGGAACUAACAAAAUCAAAUGGGCAAGUACAGCUCUAAGACCCCGCAAAAUUGUUGCAUCCGAAUUCAGUUCUCUUGGCUUUACAAGUCUCAAAACUUAGAAAUUUUCAUAAGUGUUCAAUACUUAGUCUCAUUUUAGACCUACAAACUUCGGAGAUUUAUUUGACGACUUUCUCGAUAUUUAUUUUUUGAUUUUCAAGUUGCGUUGUGAUUGGGCAAGGUUGUAGUACUUCCCAGGUAAGUUUAGGAAUUUUUUGACUCCAUUUAGGGCACGUUUUGAUUUCAAACCAGUAGCUUUCCGUGAUUAGAGGACGUCGCCCAGCUUAGAGAGACUCUCUAAGUAAGGCGCCGCCCUACUUAUAGAGGGGGUAAGAGUAAGGCGCUGCCCUGCCAUUUUGGGUACCCAGUUUUUUAGCAUUCAACCUCCAUGUUUUAAAGGGUAUUUUAGACAUUUUCCCUACCCUAUAUAUACUCUUAAACACAAGAUUUACCCAUAAUUCAGCCAAAUACACCCAUAUUUCUCAAAAUCCUCUCAAGAACUCAUUAGGGUUUUCAAUUGGGGAUUCAAGUUCAAGAAAAUUUCUCCGUCAAUCAUCAAGAAUCUUCCGUCUAAGGUAUGCGUGAGUUAAUUCAUGGACUCCUUUGGUUCAUGAAGCUCAAGAACUAUAUUCUAAAUUUUGUUUUAUGAUGUUUAUGUUUUUGAUGGAUGAUGAUUAUAUUGUUGGAGUUUGAUGAUGCCCAAGAUAGUAUUUUUGUAUGUUUGUGUGAAGCUAUGGUGAUAUAUAAUGUAUAAACAUGUGUAAUUUGUAGUUGAAUUGAAUACUUGAAAUUUUGAUGAAUCGACCUAUGCCUAAGAUGUGCAUGUAAGGUGUUUGUGAAAAUACCUAAGAGAUUAGAAUCAUGUUUUUAUGACAUAAUAGGUCCUAAAUAACUAUUCCAUGCUCUAAGUUUAUGUUUGAUGCGAUUCCCAAACUACUGUCUUGGAUUAAAGAUGUUGUUGAGAUGCUCAUGAUAUUGUUGUGAUAUGGAAUGACCAUGAUAUUGAAGCCAUGCAAGUAUAUACAUGUUGUAUGCAUUCCCGUUCAUGUGAUAGAUUGUUGAGAACCAUGGUUUGUGUGAAAUCCUUAUUUAUGGUAUUAUGAAUUGUGAAUAUUGUUGGAUUGUUCAUGAACUAGUCUUAUGCGAUCAUGCUAUGUUUUCUUGCAAAUCCUACUUAUGUAUGAGAUGUAUGAUAACCAUGUACUUCAAGAAAAUCCCAAAGUUAUGAUAUUAUGGAUUGUUGACGUUGGUCAUGUAAUCAAGUCAUUCAUGUGUGUCAGUUUCUUUCCAUUGAGUCCUAGGGGUACUUGUACCUGAAAACUAUAGCUGUGUGCCUAGAGCCGAGUCAUGUUUCAUGAUAUACUCAGUCAAGCUAUGUUCCAUAGAUCUCAGUUAGUCAUGUGACUCAAGAAAACUCAAAAAUCUCAGCAGUUUAGUAGUCUCAGUAAUUUUAGUACUCUCAGUCAGACCUCAGAUCUUAAGUAGCUUUUCCGUCAGUUAACGGAACUCAGUAAAUAUAGCUUAGCUCAGCUAAGAAAAUGCUAUCAUCUCAGUUAAUCAGUUCAGUUAGUCAGUUCAACUCAAAAAUUCAUGUUCAGUGUCAUUCAGAUGGGAGUAGGAUUCAACACCGAGCAAACCUAGGGAUGGGGGAUCACCUGCUAGCAUAGGACUGAGAUCUCUGGAAGCAAUCCCAAAGUUCCAGAACUAUGUAUCUAGCAUAGGUACGAGAUGUCACCCGUUAGAUAGGACUGACAUACUCAGGGAUCACCCGUUAGCACAUUUAUAUAUAUAGGACUAGUCGCCGGAGUCAUCCAUUAGAUUAGGACUAACUCUACAGCAGAUGUCUUUACUGGUAGCGCGGUACUGGCACCCUUCCAGUCAGGGCAGAGAUUGGACCCCAGUCAACUUAGUGUGGGGCAUGUCGGUUACAUGAAUACAUCCCACAGUUUUAGUUACAGAAAUCAGGACUGUCAGAUAUAGUCAACUCAGCUUAGUAGUACAGACUCAGGACUGUUAGACCCAGUCAAUCCUUAUCAUCAUAAAUAGACUCCAAGAUCACCCAUUAGACAGGACUGAUCUCAACUACCAUUUUAGUAUCAGUAUUAGCAAACUUAGAGAUCACCCAUUAGAUAGGACUGAUCUCAUUUAUAGUCAAUCAGUAUUAGCAUUAUCAAACUUAGAGAUCACCCAUUAGGUAGGAUUGAUCUCAGACUAAGUUAAUUCAUUCUUCUUUAUCAGCAUAAUCAGAGAUCACCCGUUAGCUAGGACUGAUCUUAGACUCAGAUAUUUAGAUACAGUAUAGAACCCAGAUAGUUCUACCAAAAUUAGGACUGUUAGAUACAGUCAUUCAAGUUAACAGUCUCUCAGUAUUAGUAAACUUAUAUUGUCAGAAUUCGAACUCAGUAGUCAGUAUCUCCACGAGUUUAGUAUCAGUUAUAUGUGUAUGUAUGUAUGUAUGUAUGUAUGUAUUCUCAUGUUCAUAUUAGUCAGCAUGUUUAUGCAUAUAAACCCCAUGUAUUUAUCCUACCCCAAUGUAUACUCAGUACUUUCAUUGUACUAACGCAUUCACACUAUGGUGCUUUCUUUUAUGUUACACCAUAGGUUCUGAGGCACAGGUUUCGGAUCAGCAGUAGCAGUUCAGUAGCAGUGAGUUCUCAUCUUUCGAGGAGGAUACGAUUAUUACUUCAUUUAUCAUUUAGUUUAUUUUCAGUUUAGGGAGUUAGUUGGAGACAUGUUCCUUUAACUCCUUAUUCAGAUAGUUUAGAGGCUAUUCAGAUGAUUACAGAGUUUUUAGAUUCAGACUUUAGUCUUUUCAGUUUUGUUUUGGUACUGUGAUACCAACUUAGUCAGACGUUUUAUUGUUCAAGAUUGAACCUUACGGACUUUUAGUUUAUGUUUCCAUAUUUUAUAUGUAUAUUAUGAAGUAUACUGGUACAAAUAUCAGUCAUGGGUUAGCUUGUGGUCCUUCGGGGUCAUGAGCACCGUGUAGCAUUCCGAUUCAGAUAAUCGGGGCGUUACAAACUUGGUAUCAGAGACUAAGGUUCAAUAGAGUCCUAGGAAGUCUGAAAGCCGUAUCUAGCAGAGUCUUGUACAUGCGUGUGUUGUGCACCACUCUUAUGUGCAGAAGGCUAUGAGAUGUUUUAGGAAUAAUUUCCCUUCUUUCAUAUCUCAAAUCGUGCUAUAGUAAGGUUCUCUAAGAAACUUAUGUAGAUUCUCAUCAUGCUCCCCUCAUGUAAUCUUUACCUUACUUCCAAGGUAACAUAAAUAGUGAAGCUCAAGUCCUAAAGAUAGAGCUUUCUCAGACAGUAUCCCAUCAGUUCCCUUAUGUCCAAAGUUGUACGGAUCUCAUUCAUGAUCACGAGAACUCAUUCUCGAACCCAGAUUUAGAUAUGCCUUCAGAUCCCUUCUUAAAAUCCUAUGAUAGCAUGUAACCCAGAGUUAGGAGCAUGAACCCAAUAGUUUGGCAGUAGAUAAGUUGGGAUAUGAUAUCCAGAUUAAAUAGAUUAUGUAUUCAUUGGGAUAGUUGUGCCAGAAUAAAUCAAUAGGCUUGAACAGUAUGAGUUAGAAAUUUAAGUUUAUUGAAUUAAAAUUAAGCAUAAAGGUGUGAAUGUGAUCCUAGUAGUAUGUGAGGGAAACAGGAACAGAUGAUGUGUUUAGUAUGGCAAACAUGUGCUAAUCAGAGUAUAAGUAUGUAAUGAUGAUUGCAGUUUAGUUCAGAGUUUAGUUUAGCUCUCACAGACUUGUGAUGAUAGCUUAAAGCCAAGGGGGAGAUGAUAGAUCAAGUACCCAAGUCAUUUUAGCAAUCGAGCAGUCAGAUUUGUAUAGCUUGUUUUCUCAUCUUUGCAUCUAUUCAUGCUACCCAAAAAUCUCAGAGAAUGUAACUAUUUCAAGGUAGAACCUCUUAGUAGUUGCAAGUUCAGUUCAUCUCAUGCAUCAUGCAUUAGUUCCAGACUCUCGAGGUUCAGCUAAAUAUAGUUUGUAGAUGCCCUGUGCAUCGCCCCAGUAUCUCAAUAAGGUGAGUGUUCUUAGAGGGACAUAGAGUCCCAAGAGGGAGAUACCCCAACAUCCCUUAACGCUCUUAUGUCCUAAACCUUUCUAUUUUCCUUUAUAUGAUGAAUUUAGUUUUGAAUAGAGGGUACUCUUAAGAUAACCCUAAAAGUACCAGUCUCAAACAUAAGCCAUGUACUCAGAGGUUAGACUAGUUCAUGAUUUCUCAGUUCAUAUGUCACGCCUUAGCCUCAGUUAUGUUCUCAUGCUUCCACUCAUGCAUAUCGAGUAGUUAAUCUCAUACUCAUCGAUAUUUUCAGUUUAAGGUAAUAGCUUUCUUUGAACUUAUUUAUGCUAAUUUUAGAUCUCAGUAGCAAACCUAGUAUUCAGUCCCAUGCUCAUUUAAUAGCUCAAACUUGGUAUCUUUACCAUUGCAUGUUCAGUCGCAUGUUUAUGAGUCAGUUUAGUUAUACGUUGAUGCAUCAGAUAUGCGUGAUCAUCUCAUUAGUACUUUCAGUUAUGGAUUGUUGAUGUUGGUCAUGUAAUCAAGUCAUUCAUGUGUGUUAGUUUUUUUCCAUCGAGUUCUGGGGGUACUUGUACCUAAAAACUAUAGCUGUAUGCCUAGAGUCGAGUCAUGUUUCAUGAUAUACUCAGUCAAGCUAUGUUCCAUAGAUCUCAGUUAGUCAUGUGACUCAGGAACCUCAGAAAUCUCAGCAGUUCAGUAGUCUCAGUAAUUUCAGUACUCUCAGUCAGACCUCAGAUCUCAAGUAGCAUUUUCGUCAGUUAACGGAACUCAGAAAAUAUAGCUCAGCUCAGCUAAGAAAAUGCUAUCAUCUCAGUUAAUCAGUUCAGUUAGUCAGUUCAGCUCAGAAAUUCAUGUUCAGUGUUAUUCAGAUGGGAGUAGGAUUCAACACCGAUCGAACUUAGGGAUGGGGACUCACCCGCUAGACUAGGACUGAGAUCUCUAGAAGCAAUCCCGAAGUUCCAGAACUAUGUAUCCAGCAUAGGUACGAGAUGUCACCCGUUAGAUAGGACUGACAUAUUCAGGGAUCACCCAUUAGCACAUUUAUAUAUAUAGGACUGGUCUCAGGAGUCACCCAUUAGAUUAGGACUAACUCCACAGCAGAUGUCUUUACUGGUGGCGCGGUACUGACACCCUUCCGGUCAGGGCAGAGAUUGGACCCCAGUCAGCUUAGUAUGGGGCAUGUUGGUUACAUGAAUACAUCCCACAGUUUUAGUUACAGAAAUCAGGACUGUCAGAUAUAGUCAACUCAGCUUAGUAGUACAGACUCAAGACCAUUAGACCCAGUCAAUCCUUAUCAUCACAAAUAGACUUCAAGAUCACCCAUUAGACAUGACUGAUCUCAACUAUCGUUUCAGUAUCAGUAUUAGCAAACUUAGAGAUCACCCAUUAGAAAGGACUGAUCUCAUUUAUAGUCAAUCAGUAUUAGCAUUAUCAAACUUAGAGAUAACCCAUUAGGUAGGACUGAUCUCAGACUAAGUUAAUUCAUUCUUCUUUAUCAGCAUAAUCAGAGAUCACCCAUUAGCUAGGACUGAUCUUAGACUCAGAUAUUCAGAUAUAAUAUGGAACCCAGAUAGUUCCACCAGAAUUAGGACUGUUAGAUACAGUCAUUCAAGUUAUCAGUCUCUCAGUGUUAGUAAACUUAUGUUGUCAGAAUUCGAACUCAGUAUUCAGUAUCUCCACGAGUUCAGUAUCAGUUAUAUAUGUAUGUAUGUAUGUAUGUAUGUAUUCUCACGUUCAUAUUAAUCAGCAUGUUCAUGCAUAUAAACCCUAUAUAUUUAGCCUACCCCCACGUAUACUCAGUACUUUAGUUGUACUGACGCAUUCGCACUAUGGUGCUUCCAUAAGUUCUGAGGCAUAGGUUUCGGAUUAGCAGUAGCAGUUCAGUAGCAGUGAAUUCUCAUCUUUUGAGGACAUAUGUUUAUUACUUCAUUUAUCAUUUUAGUUUAUUUUUAGGUUAGGGAGUUAGUUGAAGACAUGUUCAUUCAACUCUUUAUUCAGAUAGUUUAGAGGCUAUUUAGACGAUUAUAGAUUUUUCAAAUUCAGACUUUAGUCUUUUUAGUUUUGUUUCAGUACCUAUCUUUAAGUGGUAGACUUAUACUCAAUAACAGUGCUCUCGAUGCAUUCCCCACCUAUNNNNNNNNNNNNNNNNNNNNNNNNNNNNNNNNNNNNNNNNNNNNNNNNNNACAACUUCUUAUGGCAAGGCAACAAAGAGAAGAAACUUCACUUUUGAUGCCGCACCCGUGUUGGAUUCUCUAAAAAUAAACUAGGUAUGGCGAAUCCGACAUGCAUCCGUUGACAUUUUUGAAGAGUCCAAGUAACACAACUGGGAAUAAGGAACUUAAGAAAGCAAAACCAAAGCCUCCUUAUGAAAUGACUCUUGAGAUACAUAAAUGAAGAUCACGCGCUAUAGAAGUAAGUAAUUCAAGAAAAAAUAAGGAGAAAAGGGUGCUAGGAAAACCAAAGUUAUAAGCACUGUUGUAACGCCCCGUAAAAGUUGUGCAUCGAUUAGCCUUUAAUAGUUGUUCUUAGACAUAAGACUUGGAAAUUUUUUCUAAGUGUAAUGAGGACUUAGAGUCAUUUUUGCUGGUAAUCUUUGGGAUACAACUUUUCAACCUUCUCGACAUUCGUUUCUGGAUUUUCUUAUUGCGUUGCGAUGGGGCAAGGUUGUAGCACGUCUUGAAAGAGUUUUGGAAUUUUAGAUGAGCUUAAGGGCAAGUUUGGAUUUCCAAUCCAGUAGCAGCGUGCGAUAGGCCCGUAUCGCCCGCAGGAUCGCCCGCCCUGGGUCGGAGCCUGUGAUUGAGCGGGUGACGCCUGCCUAAUCGUAGUGCACUAAGGCCUGCAUCGCCUGCUAUAUCGCGCCAGGCUUAAUUUUCAGCCUCAUCUGGGAAAUUAAUGGCAAUUUGGUAAUUUACCAAUCCCCUAUCAACUUAAACACGGGAUUUAAUCCCUAAAGAGACAAAUUACACACAUAUUCACCAAAAUUGCUCAAAAACUCUCCUUAGGGUUUCAAAAUAAAAACCCAAGCAACUCAAGAUUCAACCAUGGGUUUUGAAACUAAUUGUAUAUUUGGAAUCUCCAGAAUGUAGGCUUCAAGAAACACCUAUCAUCUUUGCAUAUAGAGGUAUGUGGGGUUUUCCUAAAAUCUCAUGGGCAUAUAAAUCAUGUUUUAAGAAAGGGGUUUUUGAAUUCAUGUACAUAUUCAUAUUUUAGAAGCUUUAAUGAUAUUGUUUUGGCCUUUUGGCUAUCCCCUAAAGUGAUUUGAAAGUUAUAUGUAUAUGUAUAUAAGUGUUUAUCCUCAAAUAUGAAUUGAGAGCAUGAUUAUAAUAAAUUUCUCUCUUGUUAUGAGUUUUCCCAUCUUCAUAUGACAUGAAUUGUUUUGAAUGCAUUUUGAAAAGCAUGAUAUGAAAUACUUUGGCUUUUGCUAUGUUUUGAAUAUGUUUUGAAUACCAAAAAAGAGGGUUAUGAAUGUUGGAUAUGCAUAUAAUGAAAGAGUGCAUGAUUUUGCCAAAAGCACAUGACCAUCAAAUAUUUGAUGAAAGUUUUUUCUUGGUUUUGACUUGAGUUUUGGAGCAUGAAAUCUUCUAUGCAAAUUACAUAUUUGGGUGGUCUGAAACUAUAUUUUUAUGAAAGAUUAUGCUUGAUACAUUACGGCUCAGAAAGAGUACUUGCAUGUCUUGGUAUGAUGAUACCGAACUCAGAAAAUACCAUAAUAGACACAGACUAAUAGAGAAAUCAGACUUUAUUAGAUUUGCAUAUUUUAGAACUUCAGAAUGAUACAUGUUUAGAAAAGGUUAAAAUUGGGCAUAAAGAGAUGUUAGGUGGUCCCCGAAGAAGGCAUGAGUUCAGAGUACUCAUUGUCCAAAACCGUGAUUUGCUAAUUCGAGUAUACUAUUAUACGCUGGCUUAAGUGCUGUGUGGCGUAUCAGACUUAGGCACUCCAAUCCUUGCGGCACACUUGGGUUGGGGGCUUCCCCACCGAGUCAAUGGUGGAUUCCAUCUAGCCCGUGGAAUAUCAGACUUGUAUGGGAGUGCCACCUAACUCAGAAGUAAUACAAAGAUCAGAAAUUAUUUGACAAGAAUGUCUCAGAAUGUUUCAAAUGAUGCCUAUGUGUUUUUCAGAAACUAUUUUUGUAUGAUGUUUAAUGAAAACUUUGCUCUCAUAUUAUAUAUAUAUAUGUUGAAAUACUCUAUUUUGGACUGCUUUACGUGCCAGUACUUUUGUGCUGAUCCCCCCUCCUUCUAGGUUCUGAGGCGCAGUCUAGGGGUCCAGCAAAUCAGUAGAUAUAUCAGGUCACAGACCAGACUGAGCAGUGGUGAGCCUUCUAUGAUCCAGAAGGCUUGAUUAUUAUAAAUACUAUGUUUAGUGAUGUUUUGGUCUACUGGGGGCCUUAGAUAGCUUGUUUAGUUCAUAGUAGAGAUUUUCGCAGACUAUGUCUGACAUUAUUAUUCAGAUACAUUUACAGAUUGACUAUGUUUCCGUACUAAUUUCUAUUUUUCCGCAUUAUCUUUUAUAUAAAUGUUGUGUAUGAUCACCAGAUACAGAAGGGUGUUCUGAGCCUUCAUGGUUUGGGAUGCUCGUCACGGCUAGGGCCUUGGCUCGGGUCAUGACAAACUUGGUAUCAGAGCACGGUUCAUAGUCCUAGGGUGUCUGCAAAAUUGCAUCGGGUAGAGUCUUGUUUAUGGGUGUGUAGCGCGCCACACUUAUAAGCAAAAAGAUACUAGGCAUUUAGGAAAUGUUUCCUUUCUUUGUGAUUUAGUUCGUGCUUUAGAGUCUGACCUAUUCCCUAAUCAAUGAUCUCUUGUAUUUUAUAAACACAGUUAUGCCUUCCCGUUGCAACAUUGAAUAGAAUGCUCAGACAGAUGAGGUCCGUUCCACCCAUGGGAUCUGGACCCAUAACAGAGUUCCCACUUUAGAGCUUGUCCGUACUCUGGAAGUCCCUCCAUUCCCAACCAGUCUACCUCGGGAUCCUUGGACUAAUGUUAAUCGUCCCCCGACUAAUCAAAGAGAUAUUUUGAAUGCAGAAUUUAGAUAGUCCAUUCAUAUGCUGACACAAUUGGUGGCUGCACAGACUCAGCGGUCAGAAGAUGCUGGGUCUGUAUCUGCUACUUCUAGAGUUACUCGAGUAAGCAAAUUUAUGAGGAUGAAUCAUCCUAAAUUCAUAGGUACUAAGGUAGAAAAGGAUCCAUAGGAAUUUGUGAACGAAAUAGAAAAGAUUUUCAAAGUGAUGCAUGUUGAUGAGGUUGAAGGGGUAGAAUUGGCAGCGUACCAGCUGAAAGAGGUGACGAAUCAGUGGUACAAUGAUUGGGAAGAUGUGAAAGGCGACAAUGUUGAGCCCUCAAUAUGGAAUGAGUUUGUUGAUGCUUUUCUUGACCGAUUCUAUCCUUUAGAGUUGAGGGAGGCAAAGGAUGAGGAGUUCAUAAAUCUAAAAUAGGGGAAGAUGAGUGUUCAGGAGUAUAUUCUAAAGUUCAAUCAGCUGACCCGUUAUGCUCCUGAGAUAACAAGUAGUAUAAGGGCCCGAAUGAGAAAGUUUGCAUCCGGCCUUUCAGAUGAUCUGGUGCUUGAGUUCCAGGGAGCUAUGUUGAAUAAGGAGUUGGACUUUGCUAGGCUUACCAUUCAUAUGAAACAGGUAAAAGAGAAAAAGAAGAAGAUUUCUAAGGCUAGGGAGCUAGAAAGACAGGCGAAAAGAGCAGGAUUUGCCGACCAGGGUCACAACCAGCCUCAAAAUAGUAAGUAGGGAUAUAAAUGGCAGAAGGAGAAGAAUUAAGGUAAUGCACAGUCUACUGCUAGUGCCCCAGCGCCCAACCACCAGUAGACAAAUGAUCCCAGAGUUUUAAGACUUAUCAUAGAUCUAGAGCACCAUAUACUCAGUCGCAGGGUAGUGUGGUUCAGUAGUAUUGUACUUAUCCAUGGUGUGAGACUUGUGGUAGAAAUCAUCUGGGGAAGUGUCAGUUGGGCACACUUGUAUGUUAUUCAUGUGGUCAGCUGGGCAACUUUCAGAGGGACUGUCCAUCUUCUAGGAAGAAUGUUGGUGGUGCAAUGUCUCAGUUCAAUUCUUAAGCGCCACCCCCACCUCAGAAGGGUGCCUCUUCAGCUACUGGGAGCGAUCGUAACCGGUUAUAUGCUUUGGCUAACCGCCAGGAGGUGGAAGCUUCACCAGAUAUUGUCACCGGUAUGUUACGGAUCUUUUCUUGUGAUGUUUAUGUAUUGCUUGAUCCUGGGUCUACUUUAUAUUAUGUGACCCCUUAUGUGGCUGUUGGUUUUGGGUUUGAACCCAAAGUUUUUGUAGAACCCUUCACUAUUUCCACUCCUGUCGGUGAUUCUAUUGUUGCUAGAAGGGUGUAUAGAAAUUUUGUUGUGUCUAUUCUUAGUAGGGAUACUAUGGAAGACUUUAUAGAACUUGAUAUGGUAGAUUUUAAUGCCAUCCUUGGGAUGGACUGGCUCCAUUCGUGCUAUGCCACAUUUGAUUGCAGAACCUGAAAGGUAACCUUUUCUUUACAGAGUGAGAUACCAGUUGAGUGGGUAAGGAAUUUUGUGGCACCUAGAGGUCACUUUAUCGCUUAUCUUAGAGCCCAAAAGCUCAUCUCUAAAGGCUGUAUGUACCAUCUAAUUCGAGUAAAAGAUUCCAGAGUUGAAAAUCUUCCUCUUCAGUCAGUUCCUGUAGUGAAUGAGUUUCCAGAAGUCUUUCCCAAAGAUCUCCCAGGGAUACCACCUGAUAGGGAAAUAGAUUUUGGCAUUGAUGUAUUGCCAGACACUUGUCAUAUUUCUAUUCUGCCAUGUAGAAUGGCUCCCGCAGAACUGAAAGAGUUAAAAGAACAGCUCGCAGACCUCCUAGACCAAGGCUUUAUUCGUCCUAGUGUUUCCCCAUUGGUUGCACCCAUACUUUUUAUGCGAAAGAAGGAUGGGUCCCUUCGUAUGUGCAUAGACUACCGCCAGUUGAAUAAGGUCACUAUUAAAAGCAAAUUUUCUCUUCCUAGGAUUGAUGAUCUUUUUGACCGACUUCAGGGUGCUAAGUGUUUUUCAAAAAUAGACCUUCAUUUGGGCUAUCAUCAGUUGAAUUUUAAGGAGUCAGACAUUACUAAAAUAGCCUUCUGAACCCGAUAUGGUCACUAUGAGUUCUUAGUUAUGUCCUUCGAUUUGACUAAUGCCCCUGCAGCCUUUAUAGAUCUUAUGAAUAGAGUGUUUCUUUAGUUUUUAAACUUGUUCAUCAUAGUAUUCAUUGAUGAUAUUUUGACCUAUUCCAAAAGUAAAGAGGAUCAUGCCAAUCACCUCCGAAUUAUCCUUCAGACCCCUAAGGAUCAUCAGUUAUAUGCUAAGUUCUCCAAAUAUGAAUUCUGUUUGAAUGCUAUUGCUUUCUUGGGGCAUAUUGUAUCGAGUGACGAGAUUAAAGUGGAUCCCCAAAAGAUUGAGGCAGUGAUAAAAUGGCCUAGACCCACGACUCCAACUAAUAUUUAGAGCUUCUUGGGCGUGGCGGGUUAUUAUAGAAGAUUUGUAGAAAUUUUUUCUUCCAUAUCUAUUUCGAUUACUAAAUUGACUCAAAAAAAGGUGAAGUUUGUGUGGUCUAAUCUAUGUGAAAAUAGUAUUAAGAAUUUGAAAGACAAGCAAACUACUGCUCCUAUUUUGACCCUUCCCGAGGGUGUAGAUGUCUUUGUGGUUUACUGUGAUGCAUUUUGUGUGGGACUUGGAUGUGUACUGAUGCAACAUGAUAAGGUGAUAGCUUACGCAUCUAAGUAGUUGAAGGUGCACGUGUGAAAUUACCCCACUCAUGACUUGGAGUUAGUAGCUGUGUUGUUUGCGCUUAGAAUUUGGAGGCAUUAUCUCUAUGAAGUGUAUGUUGAUAUUUAUACUGACCACAAAAGUUUGCAGUAUGUUUUCUCACAGAAAUAAUUAAACCUCACAUAAAGGUGUUGGAUAGAGCUUCUGAAAGACUAUGAUAUGAGCCUGCAUUACCAUCCGGGCAAGGCUAAUAUUGUAGCCGACACUCUCAGUAGGUUGUCUAUGGGCAACCUUUCUCAUGUAGAAGAAGGGAAGAAAGAGAUGGUGAAGGAUAUUCACCGCCUUGCAAAUCUGGGAGUAUGACUCUUACAUUCUGAAGAUGGAAGGGUGAUUGUUCAUGAAAUAACUAAGUCAUCCCUUUGUGCUGAAGUUAAAGAGAAGCAAGUUGAAGAUCCCAUCUUUAUGCAAAUCAAGAAAGAUGUAGGUCAGCAAAAGGUAAUGUCGUUUGAAAUUGGUGGUGAUGGUAUUUUGAGAUUUCAGGGUAGGUUGUGUAUUCUGAAUAUUGAUGGACUGCGGGAAAGAAUCCUUGAUGAGGCUCACACCUCGAGGUAUGUUGUUCACACAAGCUCUACUAAGAUGUACCAUGAUAUGAAAUCUUUGUAUUGGUGGAAUAAUAUGAAACGUGAUGUAGCUGAUUUUGUUUCCAAGUGUUUGAACUGUCAGCAAGUGAAGGUAAAGCAUUUGUGGCCAUAAGGUACUUCCCAAGAGAUAGCUCUGCCUUUAUGGAAGUAGGAGAUGAUCAAUAUGGAUUUCGUUACAGGACUUUCGAAGUCCCGAAACCAGUAUGACUCCAUUUGGGUGAUUGUAGAUCGGUUGACAAAGUUAGCCCACUAUUUGCAUGUGCGGACUAAUUAUUCAGGAGACAAUUAUGCAAAGUUGUACAUUGAGGAAAUAGUCCAUUUGCAUGGAGCACCUGUCUCUAUUAUAUCUAACCGAGUUACGCAGUUUUCUUCUCAGUUUUGGAUAUCUUUUCAGAUAGGUUUAGGAAUCCAAGUGAAUCUAAGUACAACAUUCCACCCUCAGACUGAUGGGCAGGCUAAGUGCACCAUUCAGACCCUUGAGGAUAUGUUGAGGGCCUGUGUGAUUGACUUUAAAGGUAGUUGGGUAGAUCACUUUCCACUGAUAGAGUUUGCUUAUAAUAACAGCUUCCAUUCCAGUAUUAAGAUGGCACCGUUUGAAGCACUGUAUGGUAGGAGAUGUAGGUCUCUGAUAGGGUGGUAUGAAGUAGGUGAAAUACAGAUAUUUGGGCCUAAUCUUGUUCAUCAGGCGAUGGAGGAGAAGGGAGUUAGAGUUUGAAGUUGGAGAUAUGGUAUUUCUUAGAGUUUCUCUCAUGAAGGGAGUUAUGCAUUUUGGGAAGAAAGGUAAGAUGAUUCCUCACUAUAUAGGACCAUAUCAUAUCAUAAAAAGGAUAGGUGGAGUUGCAUACGAGUUGGAGUUGCCUGCAAGUUUAGGUUCUGUUCACCCGGUAUUCCAUGUGUCCAUGUUGAAGAAGUGAAUUGGAGAUCAUUCUUUAGUAUUACCUAUUGAAGAAAUCAAAGUGAAAGACUCUUUGUCUUAUGAAGAAGAGCCUGCAGAAAUCUUAGACCAUCAAGUUAAAAAGUUGAGGAGCAAAGAGAUAGCCUCAGUUAAGGUAUUGUGGAGGAAUCAGAAAGUUGAAAAAGCCACCUGGGAAUUAGAAGACGAUAUGAGAAUUAGAUACCUAAAUUUAUUUGAUCCGGUGAAUGAAGCAAUGUAAGGUACAAUCUUUGUCCUUUUCUUUCUAUGCCUUUGUUUGCUUGAAAAAUCGUGCUUGAUUGUAACUUCUGCAUCGUCUUUCGGGGAUGAAUGAUCCCAAGGGGGGAUAAUGUAACGCCCCGUAAAAGUCGUGCAUGGAUUAGCCUUUAAUAGUGUGUUCUUAGACUUAAGACUUGAAAAAUAUUUCUAAGUGUAAUGAGGACUUAGAGUCAUUUUAGCUGGCAAUCUUCGGGAUACAACUUUCAACCUUCCCGACAUCCAUUUCUGGAUUUUCUUGUUGCGUUGUGAUGGGGAAAAGUUAUAGUACAUCUCAGAAGAGUUUCCAAAUUUUAGACGAUCUUAAGGGAAAGUUUGGAUUUCCAAUCCAGUGGCAGCGCGUGAUAGGCCCACGCCGUCUACUGGAUCGCCCGCCCUGGGCUGAAGCCCGCGAUUGAGCAGGCGAAGCCUGCCUAAUCGCAGUGCACUAAGGCCCGCGUCGCCUGCUAUAUCGCACCACACUUAAUUUUCAGUCUCAUCCAGGAAAUUAAUGGAAAAUUUAUAAUUUACCAAUCCUCUAUCAACUUAAACACGGGAUUUAAUCCCUAAAGAGCCGAAUUACACACAUAUUCACCAAAAUUGCUCAAGAACUCUCCUUAAUGCUUCAAAAUAAAAAUCCAAGAAACUCAAGAUUCAACCAUGGGUUUUUGAAACUAAUUGCAUAUUUGGAAUCUCCAGAACGUAGGCUUCAAGAAACACCUAUUAUCUUCGCAUAUAGAGGUACGCGGGGCCUUCCUAAAAUCUCAUGGGCAUAUAAAUCAUGUUUUAAGAAAGGGGUUUUUGAAUUCAAGAACAUAUUAAUGUUUUAGAAGCUUUAAUGAUAUUGUUUUGGCCUUUUGGAUUUCCCCCAAAGUGAUUUGAAAGUUAUACGUAUAUGUAUAUACGUGUUUGUCCUGAAAUAUCAAUUGAGAGCAUGAUUAUAAUAAAUUCCUCUCUUGUUAUGAGUUUUCCCAUCUUCAUAUGACAUGAAUUAUUUUGAAUGCAUUUUGAAAAGCAUGAUAUGAAAUACUUUGGCUUUUGCUAUGUUUUGAAUAUGUUUUGAAUACUAAAUGAGAGGAUUAUGAAUGUUGAAUAUGCAUAUAUGGAAAGAAAAAAUUUUGCCAAAAGCACAUGACCACCAUAUGUUUGAUGAAAGUUUUUGCAUGGUUUUGACUUGAGUUUUGGAACAUGAAAUUUUCUAUGCAAAUUACAUGUUUGGGUGGUAUGAAACUAUAUUUUUAUGAAAGAUUAUGCUUAAUGCAUUAUGGCUCAGAAAGAGGACUUGCAAGUCUUGGUAUGACGAUACCAGACUAAGAAAAUGCCAUAACACACAUGGACUAAUACAAAAAUUAGACUUUAGCAGAUUUGCAUGUUUUAGAACUUCAAAAUGAUACAUGUUUAGAAAAGGUUAAAAUUGGGCAUAAAGAGAUGUUAGGUGGUCCCCAAAGAAGGCGUGAGUUCAAAUAACUCAUUGCCCAAAAUCGUGAUUUACCAAUCCGGGUAUACUGUUAUACGCUAGCUUAAGUGCCGUGUGGCGUAUCAGACUUAAACACUCCAACCCUUGCGGCACACUUGUGUUGGGGGCUUCCCCGCCGAGUCAAUGGCAGAUUCCAUAUAGCCCGUGGAAUAUCAGGCUUGUAGGGGAGUGCCACCUAACUCAGAUGUAAUACAAAGAUCAGAAAUUGUUUGACAAGAAUGUGUCAGAAUGUUUCAAAUGCUGCCCAUAUGUUUUUCAGAAACUAUUUUAUGUAUUAUGUUUAAUGAAAACUUUGCUUAUAUAUAUAUAUAUAUAUAUAUAUAUAUAUAUUUUCAAAUACUCUAUUUUGGACUGCUUCGCAUGCCAGUACUUUUGUGCUGACCCCUCUCCUUCUAGGUCUGAGGUGCAGUCUAGGGGUCCAGCAAAUUAGUAGAUAUUUCUGGUCACAGACUAGACUGAGCAGUGGUGAGCCUUCUAUGAUCCAUAAGGCUUGAUUAUUAUAGAUACUAUGUUUAGUGAUGUUUUGGUCUACUGAGGGCCUUGUCCCAGUUAUUAAACAACUUGUUUAGUUCAUAGUAGAGAUUUUCGCAGACUGUGUCAGACAUUAUUAUUCAGAUACAUUUACAGAUUGACCAUGUUUCCGUACUAAUUUCUAUUUUUCCGUAUUAUCUUUUAUAUGAAUGUUUUCCAUGAUUACCAGAUACAGAAGGGUGUUCCGGGCCUUCAUGGUUUGGGAUGCUCGUCAUGGCUAGGGCCUUGGCUCAGGUCGUGACAACUGUGUAUAGGGGGAAGAGCACCAGAAACUUGGGGAACAUUUUCAGCAUCAACUUCAACUAUAAUUAGAGAAUGGGCAAAGAAUCUCUUUUUAGGAAGGUAACUGGUUAGGCAAUGGCCCUUUUAAAGCAGUUGUAUCCUGAAGUUUACACGUUGAACCAGCAACAAAGGGCAAAAGUUAGUAGCCUUUUGGCCAUAAAAUUUUUUUCCUAUUUCCCAGAAAAUUAUUUCACUUUAGUGAAUAAAGUGAAAACACGUUGAGUUUGGCCAUGAAUUUUCCAACUCCCAUUUCAGAAAAUUCUUUGGAAAGUGAAAAAAAGUUUUACUUGUUUUCACUUUUUUCACUCAUACUUCUCUCACAAAAUUUCAAAAACAACUUUAAUUUAUAUUCAUGGCCAAACAUAACUCCAACUCCAACUUCAUCUUCAACUCCAACUCCAACUCCAACUUUGGAAAAAAAUAUUUUUCAUGGCUAAACGGGGCUUGUGAGGUAUGGAAUAAUCAAGGAUGGAACCUCACUUUUUAGAAGACAGUUGAAUAAUUGGGAGCUGGACAAAUUCAUUGUAUUUUUCAAUAGUCUCAACCAAUUCAAUGGAGUGUCACUGGAUCACGAUAGAUUAUGUUGGUUGGGAGUCAAAACAAGAGUUUAUUCAGUAAGGUCAGUAUAUCAUUGGAGAAAUUACAACAACACACAGAUACAAUGGCCCUCGAGACAACUAUGGAAGGCAAACAUACCAUACAAAGUAGCAUGCUUUGUAUGAUUGGUGGUAAAGAGAGCUUGAUUGAUACAAGACAGGAUGCAAAUAAAGUAGUCCACAUAUGCUCUAUUUGCCUUCUAUGUGGAGAUUAUGCAGAAACAAAUAGCCAUCUUUUUUGCAUUGCAGGGUGACCUCUCAGUUGUGGGAUAUAUUUCUAGCUAAGACUAGAUUGAGUUGGUUAAUGCCCACUAAUACACUGGAUGUGCUAACUAGCUGCAACAGAAGAGGAGGAUCUAAAGCCCAAAAACAGAUUUGGGAAAUGAUUCAAGGACGUAUUUGGUGGACUAUAUGGAAGGAGAGAAACUCAAGAGGUUUUGAAAACAAAAGAAACUCCAUCCAGAUGAUAAACCAUAACUGUAUUCAAAUUUGCAUUUUUGGUGUUUUGAAAUGUUCAUUGAUACAGGGACAUUGGCACAGUUUUUAGAGUCCGUAUAAAAAAAUGUUUUGCUAACCUAGCCUAGAUGUAGCUUGUAUCUAUAACCUAUAUGAUUUUGUUGGAAUCAAUACAAAUGUUAUCUUAUUAAAAAAGAAAAAAAAGUAGAGCACAUGGUGAGAAAUGUGUGUUGAUUGUUCCAUACCUCCCAUAUCUCAAAAGGAACAACAUAGUCAUUAUACAAUUGAGUAUUCUGUUCAAUUCCAUUGCUAACUCCUUGGCUUUUUCUCGAAGAAUAUUACUUAUAUCAGGUGAUGUUUCUCCGGAAACAGAUUCAUAUGUGCUUGUAGAUGCCUCUAACCUAGAAGCCAUAGCCUCCAGUUCAUCUUUAAUUUUUAUUUGAAAUUAAAGAACAACAAGCUUUUCUUCAAGAAAAUCAAGCAGCCCAUUGUUGCCUACUAGUGGCAUUAGAAGUGGUACCUGCUGAUUUGGGUGACGUACUGAGCUUGGGGAUGAUUGCACUUAACCUGCAAACUUGACUAAAAACAAUCUCUAAUUCUAUGGCCUGGCUUGCGACACCCGAAACAUACAUCACUACCAGCUCUGUAGAUACCCUGAUGGUUUCUUCUAUAUUUAUGGCAAAGAGGAUUUGUUCGAGCACUUCUGACACUACCCUGAGAUUUAGAGCCUGAUGCCCUACCUUUGUUACCAUUUAUAAACUUAGGUGUUGGAGCACUGGCUAAGGAUGGAGCUGAAAUUAAAGAUAUUGGACAAAAUUGGGAAUGAUUACCAACUUCUGACUUAGGCUAAGUGAAAUUGAAGCUACCCAUUCUAGCUCUCUUAUUUUCCCCCUCUCUUUCCUUAUUAUUAGCCUCUUCUAUCUAUUGAGCAUGGACCAUUAGCCUAGAUAUGUCCAUAUCCCUAAUUAACAUCGUAGUUCUGCACUCCUUGACCACACUCUCCAAUGCCCAGACACAAACUUGCUCAUUCUGAACCUAUUCUCUGCUACUACAUGGGGAGCAUACCUGGCUAACUGAAUAAACUUGAGGGAAAACUCUUUCACACUCAUGUUACCUUGCCUAAGAUUGAUGAACUCUAACACCUUGGCUUUCCUUAAUUCUAAGGGAAAGAAUCUUUCUAGAAAAAUAGUAGCAAACUCUUCCCAUUCUAUAGGCUCUGCAUCUGUACCCCUGUCUACCUUACACUGGUUCAACUACGUAUGAGCCAUAUAUUUUAGCUGAUAGGCAGCUAACUUAUCACUCUUAUUGGAAGUUACUCCCAUAAUAUCUGUGACUUUCUGAACCUGAUCGAGGAACUCCUGUGGAUCCUCUUCAGACUUGGAUCCAAAAAAUAGGGGAGGAUUCAUUUGGGUAAAGUCUCAAAUCUUGGAUGCAUCAGUAUUGGCCACUGGGUUGUCAUGAACAGUUGCUGGCCAUUCAUUCUGGGCUGUUAUGGAAUAGGCUAGAGUAGUAAACACAACUUUGAAUUUUACAUGGGAUGCUCGUCCAGGGGAUCUGCCUGAAUGGGCUGAGGUGCUGGCUAGUUUCCUGUUCUUCCUACAUUGUUCUUUUUGGGAGGCAUGUUCUGUAAAUAGAAGGAAGAAAAGAAUCUAACUGAGAGUAUUAACACGAGCUCAUGCUGACCGCAUGACAUAAAUACUGAAAGAAGGGAAACUUUUCUAAAAAUAUACCUCGUAGCCUCUUGCCUAUAAGUGUGGCACACUACACACCCAUGCACAAGACUCUACUUGACAUAGCUUUCAGAAUCCUUAGGACUUUAUUAAACAUUAGGCUAUGAUACCAAGUUUUUAGUGCCCCGAGUAUGCACACUGGAUGCCACACAAUGCUUACGACCCUGAAGGACUACAAGCUAACCCAUGACUGGUACCUGCCGUGAGCACUGAAUAAUAAUACUAAAAUAUUACGGAGGUUAGGAUGAAAUUCCAUAAUGUUCUUAAUCUUAGUACUAUUUUAUAAUAUGUGAUAAUAUUAGUUGAAAACUGAAUAUUGUCUGAACUAAACUAGUCUGAAAAGCCUUUACUGAAUUGUCUGAAUGUGGAGUUAAUGGGACAAACCCCUAACUAAAUUCUACUAAUAUAAUACCAAAUCUAUUAGAAUACAAAAAUAAAAGAACAUCCUUGAUAGAUGAGGACUCACUACUGAAUCUUCUAUUGCUGACUGAAUCUGGCUAAGCUUGGUCACAAAUAUGAGCGUCCGAACCUAUGAUAUGAGACAUCAUAGAAUAAAGAAAAUAUAUAUGUCAGUACGUGAAAUGUACUGGUAUGCUAGAUGAGGUAAGGCUGAAUGCAAAGGUUCAUUUACAUGAAUAGUAACUGACUAAAUGAUAUGGAAUAACUAAAUAAGAGUACAUGGAAUAAUGAAACUUCUGUAAAUAAUGAGUAUGUAAUUCUGCACAUACAUUUAUAUACUGUAUCUAAGAUUAUUACUGAAAAUGAGUCUAUAUUUUGAUAACUUAGUAACUAAUAUCUGAGGUUUCUGAUAAUUGAAUUACUGAUAACUGGGUGACUAUUUUUGACAGUCCUGAUUCUGUAGAACUAAACUGAGUUCUAUGUUGAGACUAAAACUGAAACUAAAAAUGUGGGAGGUAGUCAUCUAACAUGCCCAUAUCUAAAUGGAUUGGGGUCCAACCUAUAACCCCAGUUGGAAAGGUGUUAGUACCGUGCCACGGGUACAAACACUGGCUAUGUGGAUCCACUAAAAUAACAUCCCGCAGGACUAAGGUUCACCCUCUACUGUAGGUUCCCUAAUGAGAAUGGUAUUACCCUCAACUGGCAGGUAAACACCUUAUCAACCCUCAACUGGCAGGUUGAUAUCUCAAUCUAUGCUGGCUACGUAGUUUUGGAAUAUAAGGACUGCUACUAAGGACACACCCUCUACUGAUAGGUGAGCCCCUAUCCUUGGGCUCGCUCACUGCUGAAUCCUACUCCCAACUGAAUUACACUGAUUAUUAAACUGAACUAAAUUAGACUAAGUUUCAAUGAGUUCUAUAACUGACUAAGUACUACUGUUCGUGACAUUACUGAGACUAUUCUGUAACUACUAUGUCUCUAGGUAUACAACUAGUUUUUGAGUAUUAAAUACCUCCAGGACUCAAUAGCAUUAGAAGUAAAGCAUGGAAUGAUAUUAAAAGCAUAAAAAAUGUUGCUUGUUAAUAAUGCAUUAAUUUAGACAUUUUGACAAACACUUGAGAUACAUGAAUUGUUCAUGAAUGAGACCACAUAAUGACAAGUCAUGAUUUCACUAUUCAAUUCACAUAAGACUUUUAUCAAACACUUAGGGAGCAAGGUCAUUUCACAUAAUAAUAGUCAACACAUGAACAUCAUGGAUACAAUACUCAAUGGUAAAUUCAAGCUUCAAUAUGCCAAUCAUCUAGUUUAUCACACAUGCCACUUUAAUUGCAUAAAACUUAAAAUUAAUCAUUGAUUAAAACCCAAAUAAUAUCAUGAACAUGGAUGAAGGGUGUGAUGAUGUUUGGGAAGAAGGUCAAGCUUAGCCCUAGGUAUAUUGGUCCAUUUGAUAUUUUUCAGACUGUUGGUGAUGUAGCUUAUGAGUUGGCUUUGCCCCCUGAUCUAUCAGUGGUUCAUCCAGUUUUUCAUGUUUCUAUACUUUGUCGCUUUAUUCUUGAUGAGUCUCAUGUCAUUCGUUGGGAUUCAGUUCAGUUAGAUGAGUGGUUGUACUUUGUUGAGGACCCGAUUUCCAUUUUGGCUAGUUAUGUUAGGCGAUUGCGCUCUACAGUUAUCCUUGUGGUUAAGUUCUAGUGGUGACAUCAACCUGUCGAUAAAGCUACUUGGGAGAUCAAGUCUAAUAUGCAUAUUUCUUAUUCCAGAUCCUUAUUGAUUUAGGUAUUUCUUUGCCUUAGUUCGAGAACGAACUAGAUUUCUAGUAGUGGAUGAUGUAACGACCUAAAAAUUUGAUGAAAUAUGUGAAAUUUAUGAUUUAACUAUUUUACCCCUCCCGUUAGUUGCAUUAUG
rnacentral:lncRNA from 1 species